rnacentral:lncRNA from 1 species
CCCCGCUUCCUUCAAUUUUCCCUUCUCCUUUCCUUCUCUUUUCUCUUUUCCUUCCGCCGUUCCCUUCCGUCUUUCUUUCCGCUGCAGCCCAGCCGCCCCAUCCUUCCCCUUCUCUCCGUUUGCGAAGCAAAACCGCCACCGACCGACCUCCAUUCCUCUUCUCCUUCCCGUUCGCAGCCCCGCUGCAAACCGUCGCCUCCCUUCCCUUCCAUUUUCUUUUUCCAUCCGCAGCCCUGCCGCAAACCGCCGCGUCUCCCCUUUUGAAGCCGAGCGCCGCGACCCUUCUCCUCUUCUCUUCAGUUCGCAAAGUAGCCGUACGCGUCCAGAUCUGCCGCCGUCCAGAUCUGCACCACAAGAAAACGAGUCUGGGCAUCACGUUCGGCUUUUGUGGGCAAGAAACUUCGAGAUCACUCAUAAUCGGAUCGCCCAGUGGUUAGAUGUGAGCUUUCGAGGCCUCCAACCCCAUUCUGAGUCCGAUCGUUCCUUUCUAGGCCAUUGAGCCUUUUUUCGGCGUUUUGGGACGAAACGAAGAAACCGAGUCUAGGGCAUCACCGUUUGGCUUUUGUGGUCAAGCAACUUGAAGAUUACACAGAAUCAGACCGCUCAAUGGUUAGAUGUGAACUUUCAAGGCCUCCGACCCCAUUCUAAGUUCGGUCGUUCCUUUCUAGGUCAUUGUGCCUUACUUCGGCGUUUUGGGUCUGAACCAAGAAACCGAGUCCGGGCAUCACCAUUCGGCUUUUGUGGGCAAGAAACUUUGAGAUCACUCAUAAUCGGACCGCCAAGUAGUUAGAUGUGAACUUUCGAGGCCUCCGACCUCGUUCUGAGUCCAAUCGUUCCUUUCUAGGCCAUUGUGCCUUUCUUCGGCAUUUUGGGACGGAACCAAGAAAUCGAGUCUCGGCAUCACCGUUCGGCUUUUGUGGGCAAAAAACUUUGAGAUCAUUCAGAAUCGGACCUUCAAGUGGUUAGAUGUGAACUUUCGAGGCCUCCGACCCAAUUCUGAGUCUGAUCGUUCCUUUCUAGGCUAUUGUGCCUUUCUUCGGCGUUUUGGGACCGAACCAAGAAACCGAGUCUGUGGCAUCACCGUUCGGCUUUUGUGGGCAAAUAACAUCGAGAUCACUCAGACUCGGACCGCCCAGUGGUUAGAUGUGAAGUUUCGAGGCCUCCGACCCCAUUGUAGUCCGGUCGUUCCUUUCUAGCCGAUUGUGCAUUUCUUCGGUGUUUUGGGACGAAACCAAGAAACCGAGUCUGGGGCAUCACCGUUCGGCUUUUGUCGGAAAACUUCGAGAUCACUCAGAAUCGGACCGCCCAGUGGUUAGAUGUGAACUUUCGCAUCCUUCGACCCCGUUCUGAGUCCGGUCGUUCCUUUCUAGGCCAUUGUCCUUUCUUCGACGUUUUGGGAUGGAACGAAGAAACCGAGUCUAGGGCAUCACCGUUCGGCUUUUAUGGGCAAGAAACUUCGAGAUCACUCAGAAUCGGACUGCCCAGUGGUUAGAUAUGCACUUUCGGGUCUCCGACCCGUUCUUACUCCGGUCGUUCCUUUCUAGGUCGUUGUGCCUUUCUUCGGCGUUUUGGGACAGAAUCAAGAAACCGAGUCUGAGUUCGGUCGUUCCUUUCUAGGCGAUUGUACCUUUCUUCGGCGUUUUGGGACGGAACCAAGAAACCGAGUCUGAGUCCGGUCGUUCCUUUCUAGGCGAUUGUGCCUUUCUUCGGCGUUUUGGGACAGAACCAAGAAACCGAGUCUAGGGCAUCACCGAUCGGCUUUUGUGGGCAAGAAACUUUGAGAUCACUCAGAAUCGGACCACCCAGUAGCUAGACGUGAACUUUCGGGGCCUCCGUGUUGGAAUUUUUUCUCCUAAAACUCGUAGUUUGUAAAUCAUAUUCUGUUCAAUAAAGCUGUUAUUGAGAAAUUAAAUAUUAUAAUCUUAAAUCCAAUAAAUCAAGUUCCAAGGCUAUUUUUGAAUAAACUUGAACUUUAUGUGUAAACAUAAACGUGGAUCAAGUUCGAGUAUAUAGCCUAAAUAGUCUAUAGUAUAUGAAAUAAAGGUUGGGCGCCUUAUUUAGAGAAACUAUGGAUGCGGCCCACUUUGUAGUACAAAUGAGGUGAUCCUAAUAGUUCAUGUAGAGACAUCCUAUGUAAAAUGUUUACAUAAGACUGAACCAUGAAUUAGUCUUUUUUACGUUAUAACACCGUUUACUGUUUAAAACUAACUAUCUCAAUUGUUGAUGACCUAGGUAACUUAGUCUUAAUCCUGAGUUAACUAUGAACUCUUGUUCGCACGAGAUUAUCCUUAGAUCUGCAUAGGUGAGGGCAGCUCUUCAUCGUUGGCCCAAUAAGCCUCCCAUUUCAGGGGUAAGAUCGGGUGGAUAGCUGGGAACAUAUGGUACAAGAUGGAAUUCACUCCUACCCGCUUUAGGGUUAGUAGAUAGGUUGUUCUCUUAAGCACUGAAUCCAAGUCUUGAACAAGGGGCCCCACCCUCUCAUUGGCCCGAGAUGGAUUAAGUUUAUAGGUUGAAGCUUAAACCAAUUGUUCAAUAGUGGAUUAGUGGGACUUAAGGAGCAAGAUGUAAUCUUGGGGAUAAAACGGUAUUUUGACCCAGCCAAGGUUAUGAGCAACCUGUGAAGGAUUAACUUACUGAUUAUGGUUUUAUCAAAUGGACACAAAUAUAUCUAUAGUUAGGGGAGUGCAACUACGGGACUUUAGUGGAAUGACCCGUUAGUUAACGAAUGUUGAUUAACUCGGUUUAAAAGAGUUUAGCUAGUUAAUCUUGAAUCGUUGGAGCCCAUGAUCUAUAGGUCCAUUAGGUUCCUCUGCUAGCUCAUAUGGAUUAAACUUAGAACAUGGUGAUAAAAUAAGUCGAAUUGUUCGAAUUGGGAGAAGAAAGGGAAACCGACAAAUAUAGUGAUAUAGUCGUCGGUCUUCUAAUUAGAAAUAGAGCUUUAUGUUUUACAUACUAUAAGUAUGAAUGCGGAUUCAUACUAAGAAGCUCGGAAUUGAUGGAAUUGGUAAAAAAAUAGUAAAAAGUCAAAAUGUUGACUUUUGACUUUGAAAAGUCAAACUUUGACCGGCCUUAUAUUCAAAUGUGAUUUGAAUUUUGGACAAAUGAAUGCGGAUUCAUGCUCGGGAGGUUGGAAUUAGUCAAGACGGACAAAAUGGUAAAAAGUCAAAAUAUUGACUUUUGACUAAGAAAAGUCAAAGUUUGACUUUUGACUAGAAAUAUCUAAUGACCAUUUUACCCUUGGACUAAGUUAGUGGGAAAUCCAACAUUUUGUUCUAUUUAUUGUAAUUAGCCUUGUUAAUGGCUUAUUUUUAUUGUUGCAAAGUGUUUGUAAUUUUUUUUAAAAUAAAAAAAAGUCAUUAGAGUUGAAGUUAGGCUGUAAUUGGUUCAACCGGGUGAGAGAAUUGAAAAAAAUAAAGAAAAGAAGGUCACAGACCCGAAAACCCGGCCUUGACCCGCUUCACGACCCGCCUGCGCCCGCGCGCCCGCCUGCGCCUGACCUGUGUGCGCCUGGGCGUGUUUAGUUAAUUGGCCCGAUUCAAGCCAAUAAAUUUGGUUUUUGGGCCGGUUCGAAGUUUUUGGGAGUGGUUCUGUACUACACCAAAUUAAUUAUGUAAUAAUUUAGUACUUAGUUUAAUUUAGGAGCCAAAAAUCAGUCCAUUUUAGGGUGUUUUUUUUUUAUUUAUGCAUGUGAUGUAUGAUUAAAUUACUUUAAAUUUGUAUGUGCAUUUUGAAUGUCAUAUAGAUUUAAAAUCCAACCAUAGGUUAACAUGUUCAUGCAUUAAAAUGUAUGAUAUAAAGGUUAUAUUGUAUUGUAUGCAUGUUAAUUGAUUAAUAUGGAAAUUAAUUAAUAUGAUUAAUUAAUUAUUUAAUUAAUUAAGUUAUUCUUGAUUAAAUAUGAUUUAAUCAAAUUAAUUAAUUAUUGUUUGAUAUUAAUUAAUUAAAUAUGGUUUAAUUAAAUUAAAAAAUGAUUUAAUUAAAUUAAAAAUUAAAUAUGAUUUAAUUAAAGUUAAUAAAAUUAAAAUCCAUAUUAAUUGAUUGUUUUUAUAAAGGUUAUAUAUUGAUAAAAUGAUUGAUUAAGUCUAAAAUUAAUUAAUUAUUGUUUUUACAAAAGGCUCCACCUGGUUCAAUCUUGUCAACAAGUCAGAUAAGAUGACUAAGGCUGGAGGUUCUUAAGUUGACGGUUUACGGAACACCUCCUACUGGAGAUCGUAAUCAGUUCUUGAGCCUAGUUAACCUAGUUUUAUGAGCAUUCGUGAGAGUGUGAGGUAUAUAAAAUGGUUUAUCACCUAGACAUCAUAGGUUAAAAUCCUGUAUAAUGGUUAUACUUGGACGUUUUAUCUAGACUUAAAGAUUUGUUUAAGUUAGCCUAAAUAUAAAUCUUGAAGCUUGGAUUACCCUAUUUUUUUUCUUCUUUUAGAACACUUCAACUAGAGAAAAAUAAAUGCUUUAGCUCUAGUGUCCCUAAGAGUUCACACUGUGAGGUCCAUGCAGGGCUUUGUGCUGUGCAUAAGAGCGGACUCCUUCGGAGAGUGUUUGCAUGGAUCAAAAUCAAGGUGAAUAAGGGAAGUAGUUCAUAGUAAGUGGGUGAGGGAUUUGUGGCAGCACAUCCCACGGUCUCUUCCAUUAGGUCGCACCGUGAGAUUUCUAUAAUAUGCCUACUUGUCUGCCUGGAGCGACGUUCCUUCGGAGGAGGGUUGUAUUAUAGGAUUUGGAACACCGCGAACUCCAAAUCUGGAUAGGUUUUCUUAGAUUAGUUUUCAUAAAUGAUUCUAAUCUAUGAAAGUCUGAAAAUGGUGGGUAACACUUACAAGAAUUACUAAGUUGUUAGUAUAUUCUUGACUAAAGUAGCGAUAACUAAGUGCUAUAAAGAAUAAGCAGUUAUUCUAGAGAUAGCAUCUAGUCAAGAUUGUCUUGGUUCAAAGGAGGAAUAAUCAACUACCCUUCGGAGAAGGUUGUUCUAAACCUUUGAAAUAUUGUUGCAAAAUACAAAUAAUGAAAGGGUACAUUAUUAGUAAUUGCUAAAUUAGAUUGGAUAUUUUUUAUGAUUAUAGUUUUUUCCUAAAAAGAAUAUGUUUGUUUUUCAGCAUGAAUAGCUCAAUAGUUCAACUUUUAGCUUUCGAAAAACUUAAUGGCGAUAAUUAUGCGGCUUGGAAAUCAAAUCUUAACACAAUACUAGUGGUUGACGAUUUAAGAUUUGUCUUAACUGAGGAAUGUCCUCAAAACCCUGCCUCUAAUGCUAACCGAACUAGUCGGGAUGCAUAUGAUCGAUGGAUAAAAGCUAAUGAAAAAGCCCGUGUCUACAUUCUUGCCAGCAGUCUGAUGUAUUGGCAAAGAAACAUGAAUCCUUAGCCACGGCUAAAGAGAUUAUGGAUUCAUUAAGGGGAAUGUUUGGGCAACAGAAUGGUCCUUAAGACACGAGGCAGUCAAAUACAUUUACACUAAGCGUAUGAAGGAAGGGACCUCUGUUAGAGAACAUGUUCUGGACAUGAUGAUGCACUUCAACAUCGCUGAAGUGAAUGGUGGUCCCAUCGAAGAGGUUAAUCAAGUUAAUUUUAUCUUAGAGUCUCUUCCGAAGAGCUUCAUUCCAUUCCAAACGAAUGCGUCUUUGAACAAGAUAGAAUUUAACUUGACAACCCUUCUGAAUGAACUCCAGCGAUUCCAAAACCUUACUAUGGGUAAAGGAAAACAAGUGGAAGCAAAUGUUGCUACCACAAAAAGAAAAUUUAUAAGAGGAUCGUCCUCUAAAACCAAAGAUGGACCCUCAAAACCUAAUGCUCAAAUAAAAAAGAAGGAAAGGGAAAGACUCCCAAACAGAACACGGGUAAGAAAGGUGCAGAAAAAGGUAAGUGUUACCAUUGUGGCCAAAACGGGCACUCGUUAAACAUGCCCAAAAUACCUUGCAGAAAAAAGGCAGAAGGAAACACAAGGUAAAUAUGAUUUACUAGUUGUAGAAACAUGUUUAGUGGAAUAUGAAAAUUGUACCUGGAUACUAGAUUCAGGAGCCACUAACCAUAUUUGCUUCUCAUUUCAGGAAAAUAGUUCUUGGAAAAAGCUUUCAGAAGGCGAGAUCACUCUCAAGUUGGAACAGGAGAGAUGGUCUCAGCUAGAGCAGUGGGAGAUUUAAAGUUGUUUUUUAGAGAUAGAUAUGUCAUACUUAAGAAUGUCUUAUAUGUACCUCAAAUGAAAAGAAAUUUAAUAUCUAUCUCUUGUAUUUUGGAACAAAUGUAUAGAAUAUCUUUUGAAAUGAAUGAAGCGUUCGUUUUCUAUAAAGGUAUUCUAGUUUGUUCUGCCAUACUUGAAGACAACUUAUAUAAGUUAAGACCAACCAGAGCAAAUUUUGUCUUAAAUACUGAAAUAUUCAGAACAGCUGAAACUCAGAAUAAAAGACAAAAAGUUUCUUCUAAUGCCUAUUUAUGGCACUUAAGACUUGGUCACAUAAAUCUCAAUAGGAUUGGGAGAUUGGUUAAAAGUGGGCUUCUAAUCAGUUAGAAGAUAACUCUUUACCUCCUUGUGAAUCUUGUCUUGAAGGAAAAAUGACCAAGAGAUCUUUUACUGGAAAAGGUCUUAGAGCCAAAGGACCCUUAGAGCUCGUACAUUCGGACCUUUGUGGACCACUGAAUGUCAAAGCUCGAGGUGGAUAUGAAUAUUUCAUUAGCUUCAUUGAUGAUUAUUCAAGGUAUGGUCAUAUUUACCUAAUACAUCAUAAGUCUAAUAGUCUUGAAAUAUUCAUUAGCCACAUGGGCCUUGCCCGACUAUUUUGUUAUGGACAUGUUUACAUUUUAACCGUUAAUAAGCCAACUUAGGCUAUCACACCCCACCAUGAGCACCUACUUGCGUGGCUCGAGAUAUGGCGUGAAGCCAAUCGAUAGCACCCACGUCAAGAACGACACCAUUUGACCCUUAGCUUGAACGUUUAAACUCUAAACAAUAGCGGAAACAUAACACAUAAAUUUUACUAAAACCAAUUGGGCUAAACCUUUUUCAUUUAACAACCUUAGACAAGUUUUACAUAGAAAAAACGUAAUCUUAUUUAUCUAGAAACAAACCUUAUAAAACCUUCCCAAAAGCCUAAGUCUGAUAGCACAAAAGACUAAUUUAUCAUUAGUACAAAAUAAUAGGACACAUACGAUAACAAAAUGAAAUCCUCAGUAGACAGGUAGCAGCAAGUUAGGCUUAGAGGACACGAUCUCUACCUAGAAAGUGGGAAAACAUUUUGAAUAUUAUGCAUUUUGAAGAGUAAACAAUAUGCUAGAAUAAAUACCUUUAAACAAUAACACGCUUGAAAGACUUUUCAUAACAUAACUUAAAUAUUUUAUCAUAAAUCCGUCAUAAUCAUGACUUAAGAACAUGCUUGAAAUCACUUUAAAUAAAACAUUUUCCACUCACAGAUACAAGCUCAAAUCCUUGGUUUAUAAAUUUGUAUGAUCUUCUCAUGUCUUGAAAUAAUGGUAAAAUAGUACAAUUAAUUAUCUUUUGCAAGAAAAUAUCAAAAGUAUACUUAAAAAACUCAAAAAAUUACCAAUAGCUCAACACGCAAUAUGACACUGCUUGACACGAAUGGGGUGGUGGCAGGGCUUGGUUGGGCGCUGCUACUGUGUGUGAUCUCACAAGAGGCUUUCAUGCGUGUUGGGCAUGCCCGCGUGCUAACCUCACGCACAAGCACAUUGUGAACCUCACUGGUUGCGUGCUUGGCAUUUCGUAUAGCCCUCCUCAUGUGCAUUCUUGGCUAGUGCAUUUCUUGUGUCACAAUCGCGAGCUUUCAAACACGAGAGGCGCGAUUAUGUUGCACUUGUUUUACGUAGACAACAAGUUAGCUGAUCAAAAUCCAAAAACCACAGACAAACACAUGAUACGAUGUAGCCUCUCUUCAGGUUCUUGAGAAAAUGUUUUAUAAAACGUGAGAAGAAAGAAAUUCAAUGAAAAUAUCGUUAAAGCAAGCAUUGAAGACUGUCAAUUGCAAAGAAAAACUUUGAUUGCGAAGAGUGCAACAAGGCUUGGGCAGGGAUUCAACUACUAUGUCCCAUCUAUAGUACAUUUUAGACUUUUUUAGUUCUGGUAGGCUUGCAUAAGAAAAAGCCAAGUCACACCCAAGGUUUAUGACAUAAAAAGGAAAGCAAAAAGUAAAACUAAAUACAAAACAUGAAAACAAUGUAAAUUGGGGGUGUUUGGGCAUGCUGCCAUAAGUAAACAGCGCCCUGGACAAGCAUGCUUGUUACAUUCUUCCCCACUUAAACAAUUGACGUCCCUGUCGAUUGGCGAAGCUAGAAUUCCUCGAUCUUCUUCUUUCACGCUCCAAGGUCUUCAGCACAUUCCUAACAUGUUUCUUCCACAUGGAGGUUCUUUCACUUCAGUAGGAAUUCAUGUAUCUUCUUCAUGGGUAUACCCUUCCUCACUCUCUUAGGAAGGAUUUCUUCCAUUUCUUUAUUGUCUUUCUGCUUUAGGUCACUAGAUGACCAUACACCAUUGUUGCACUACUGGUCAUCUGGAUCUUGAUGGUAAGGUUUCAAGUUGCUCACAUGAGCUACUAGAUGAUUUUUUAUCCAUGCAGGCAACGAUACCCUAUAGGAUGAAUUUCCAAUUUUCUUCAGAACUUCAACAGGCCCUUCGUAUUUUCUAGUGAGAUGCUGAUGUUGAUGUCCAAUAAAUGAAAUUUGCUUUGCUUUAAACUCUAUGAAGAGUUGGUCUUCCGCUCAAAACUUGAGCCACAUCCAUCAACUAGGCCCAAUUCUUUUGUCCAAAAUCAACAAAAUGUAGUAGAUAUUCCUUAAGCAUACAAUUGAAUCCUUCAGUUUGGCCAUUCGUCUGAGGAUGACAGCUUAAGGAUAUAUUUAGGCAUGUCCCCAAGAAGGCGAAUAGUUCGGUCCAGAGAGUACCAAUGAAUCUACCAUCCUUGUCACUCACAAUGAACAUAGUUUUGUAGUGGGGAUAAAGGUGGCGUACUUCGAGAACCAAUUGAUUAUAACCAAGAUGCCUCAAAGUGGUUCACCUUUGGGAUGUGUAAUAAAAUCCAUGGAUUUCGCACAUUCUACUAAAGCCUGAAGCCCCGUAUGCUGCAAGAAUCAGUGUUGCCAAUCGAGGUUGCAACGUUUCAAAUGCAACUGAUCAGCAUACCAUUCAAAAUUUGAAUUUUCAACAUGACGAGUUUGUAACUUUAGUGCCCUUGGAGAAGAAAAUGAAAUUCAGGGUAUGUGUAAUUCAGGUUUUGUUCCACAAGAUAGUACAAUUUAAAUUAUUCUCCAUAUGUUGCUUAAUUAUCUCAUAACGGUUUAUUUAAACCAGGAUGCAGUGCAUGACAGCAACGGUCCAGUUUCUUUAGCAGAAAUAGAGAACAACACGACAACUAGUAUUGCAAAAUUAUCCAAUACUCUUGGUAAUUUGGAUGAGACACAUUGUUCUUGCUCUAAACAUAGCGCAAAGAGAGUUUGGGAAGUAUCACUUUCUUCCCUGACGUCAAAGAAAGUAAAAGGAGUCAAUCUGGACCAUUUCCAUUCCCACUCUAACAAAAAUCUUGAUCCUAAAAGUGAUGUAUACGAUACCUGCUCUCAAUGAUGCUCUUUAGCCAAUUCAAAGCAUGAAAUUUUAUCAAGUAUUUAUCCUAAAAAUCCAACCAAUCAGUGUACACAAAAUUUUUGUCAAGAAUUUGGAAGUGUAAAUGUGGCAUCAGAGGACCUCAAUUCUGAAGAGCUAGAGAAGCUUCUGAUUCCUUCCCUCCAUUAUUGAUAAAUAAAAUUGAGGUUAAGGCUUAUCAUAUACAUACCCAGUCACUGAACUUCUCCAUAUUCCUUAAGAGGCAUAUCUUGCUUGGCUUAUUUGGCUGGCUCUACUCAUGUAAGCUUUCAAAAGGCGAAUCUGACAUCCUGCCAAAAAUGAUUAAUCAGUUUCUUUAACUGUUGAACUUUUAGGUUGUAUACUAGCAAGCACCUGAAGUUUAGGGAUUCAUUUUAUAUUAUUCUUAAGAGUUAUUCAAUAUCCCUACCUAGAAUAGACAAAUGAAGCUUGAAACUACCCAUAAUAUUAAUGUUGUUGUUUAAUUAUGACAUUUUGUUAUCGGUCUUUCUAACUUACGAAUAUCCAUCUUCUGAUAUGUGUUCACAUGCAUAUUUUAUGGAUGUAGAUUUUAUAGUAUUUCUUUAUUUAUUUUAUAUGGCAUUAGCUGUUAUACUUUUUUAUAAAAUAUUAAUAUAAAUAUUAAACUACCGAUUCACCAAAAAGUUUAAGCUGGUGGUUGAAAGAAAAUUCAAUUAUAGCCUUAAGCACAUUGGUGGACUAGAAAGUAUAAUCUUAGAAACACUCAAUCUGAUCAAGUUCUCUGAAGCAAGAAUUAAAGUUCGGAAAAAUCUUUGCGGAUUCUGCAACUAUAGAAUUAAAGAGUGAGAACUGAGGAAAUUUUCCCUUAAUUUUGGGGAUUUUGAACCCAUAGAAGCUCCUGUAAUAAUCCAAUCUGAUCUAUUUCAAAGUGAUUUUUCCAAUCCUAUUGAUUUAUGUAGAAUAAAUUCAGUGAUUUUAGAUGAGGGGCUCCAAAGUGAUGGUCUCCUAGAUACCUGAAUUUUUCUCAAAACAGAAUGCCCCAUCCAUCACAAGAAAUCUUUCGAAGCACUUAGGAAGUUGGGUGAUGAAGAAGAAAACCUUGUUCGACCGGAAAGAGUUUCAGCCCUUGAAUCCUCGCCGGAAAAAAUAAUUUUCAGAAGGCAAAAUUCAAAUUUGGGUAUAGUUGGCAUCUCCACGUACUUAGAAGGGGAAAAGACUUCAACAAAAAGAGAGAAAAACAGACUCGAAAGAAGAAAAGGCAGCCAGCCGACAUUUUAUUAUCUCAAAAAACAGCUCACCUAGCCCUCCCCAACCAGAUUGUUUCAAACUUAAUGUAUCUGCAGACAUUUUAAAAGCUGACACACAGAUGGUAGGCCCCAAGAAUUUUAUUAAUCAGAAUUCCAAUGGCUUUUGGUAUUCUGACGAAUUGGAGGAAGAAUCAGAGUCCUCUCCUCAUCAAGGAACUUCACUUGCGGGCCAUCUCCUGUUUUCAGUUCUCAACCAAAAUUACCAGCCUCUCCCAAGACUAAAAUAUCAUCUGCAAUGAAAGCUAUUCCAUUUCAUGCCAGAAAUUUUUCUAAGCACCUCAAGACCUAUACCAAAGGGAGAACUUCUUUUCGCAACAUUUGGAUGAGCUUGGCUAAUUCUGAUUUAUUAGAGGAAAGUUUGUGAAGAUACAAAUUCCAAAUUCAGUUGGCAAAAGGUCAGUACUGCCUUCCUCCUUAAGUAAUAAAUUUUCUCAAUCCUCCUCCAAACUUUCUGGUUCAUUCUUUAAUUUUGUGCAAGAUACUUCUUGUCUAAAAAAAGUUGAGAACCUAGAAGAUGAAUUCAUGGAAGUUGAAUCAGUCACCAGUGUGUAUCUUCCCCUCAAGAGUUGGUUCCUUUCUUGGCAGCAUGUGAAAUUAAAUUGAUAUAAGGUAGAGGUAGCAAAGAUGGAGAUUAUAUCAUGGAACACUAGAGGAUUCAUGGGCUAUUCGAAACAAUUGGCUAUUAAAAAUAUUUUGAAGAAAGCUAAUCCAGAUAGAUCUUUGAUUCCGGAGACCAAAAGAGAAGAGAUUGCCAGUUGUAUUAUAAAGGCACUAUGGAGUUCAAAAGGAAUUGGCUGGGUCUUUGUUUGAAGCUAGUGGCAAAUUAAGAGUUUUGCUGAUUAUGUGGAUAAAUAUAAGUUGUCGAUUAUUGAAGUUCGGUCAAGAGAAGGAAGGUCAUUACAGUGUGUGCUCAUAAGUUGUUUCAACAUUAAUUUAUAAGUUGUUUGGAAAGGUUCUCGCAGAAAGAUUAAAGAAAGUCAGGCCAGGUAUUACUUUGUAAGACCUCCUAUUAUCUAUACCUAUAAAAGGAAGGGUAGAAAGAGAAAUUCCUUAGCAACCAAUGAUGAGAGAAUAAUGGGAGAGGAUCGUGCAGGUGGGGCUGCCAGGAGGGAUGAGAGAGAGGUAUAAAUAUGUAAUCUAACAUACUUCUCCAUUACAAUGUGGCUUUCUGGAAGAGUGCCAAAUCUUGGAUCCUAUUUUAAUAGCAAAAGAAACUAUGGAGGUCUAUAGUAUCCGAAAAAAGAAAAGAUGGAUCAUUAAAUUAUACCUUGAAAAGGCCUUUAACAGAGUGGAUUGGAAAUUUUAGAAAAUGUAAUGCAAAAGAAGAUCUUCGAUGUAGGAUAUUGUGUUAUAUUGGCCAGCCUUUACAGCAUCCCCAUUUUGAAGUUUUGAUGAUCAGGACUUUCGGAUCAGCCCUCUGCUUCAAACAGUUUUUGCUCAACCAAUCAAGGCUUAUUCUUCUUUGUUCUCAGCAUGCUGCCUUUGAUUAUGAUUUUUCUUUGGAAAGAUUCUUUUUAUCAUUUUGUUUGUCUUUGUUUUUGUGGCUUUUUGUUUUGAUCUUGUGUUGUCGCUUUUUGGAUGUUUUGAGGGCACUAAGGGGGUGUCAACCUAGUUUGAGAUGCCCGGAUGCGCCUGUUGAUCUUCCCUCUCCUCUUUUGCUCUGUGUAUAAUCCUCAUGUACAUUGAGCUUUGUGUCUUUCUUUAUAUUAAUAAUAGUGAGACUCGUAUCCUUUUUUAAAAAAGAAAAAAAUUCAAUUAUAUAUCACCAACACUCUCCUCACUUGUGGGCUUGAAAUAUUUGAAAGGCCCAACAACUGGAAAUGGAUUUUAAUUGGGGAGGAAACGACAAUGCGAGGCUUGAACACAAGACCUUCUUGGACCACCUGCUCGGAUACCAUAUUGAAAGGGAGACAAACAAACACAAAACUUUACGUGGAAACCUGUGUACCAGGAGAAAAACCACUAUAUUUUUCUUCUUAUUAUUUUCUGAUGAAAAAUACAAUAGGUACAAGGGAGAAUAAAUAGAAUAUACAGAGGAAUAAAAAAGGAAAAUAUUUAGGAAUUAAGAAAAAUAUUCCCAUAAACUUUUCAUAAAUAUUCUAAGAUUCUAACAAUAAAAAGUUCUAUUUAUUCCAAAUUGUGACUGCUCUAAUAUGCAGUUGUUUUCUGAUUCAGAUGAUUGAGGAGCUUGGUGGUUCUCUCACUGCUGAUGGGAGUACAAGCACUCAUGUCAUUACAGGAAAAGUGCGGAAAACUCUAAAUUUUUGUAUUGCUCUCUUUUUAGGGUUAGUCUUGCAACCUUAGACGAACACUCUUCUAUGUGUCCUUUUGGCCUUUGAAUACCGAUAAUCAUCUCAUUUGCACCAAAGUUAGCAAUUCCAUGCACACAAGGCCUUUGCCGUUAUUUUUCCAUUGCCUCGUAGUUGUGCUUAGGCUGGAAAUUGUUGUGAACCUUCUAAAUCUAAAAGGGCAUAGUUUCUUAUUCUACUGCCUGUUUACUUUUAGUUAAACAUCAAAAUCAAUUCUUAUGUUUGAGUUGGAUUGUAUCAUGCUCUUCCUUUUCAGUUGUUUCUAUCGUGAUGGUGGGUAGUGGUUGUUAAGACAACCAUUAGGCUAAUUUGGGUUGCAGGCUUACUUUUCCCAUUUUACGUGUAAAAUGGCUCAAGCUCACUAAUGAAAGAUAUUUGUUGGCUAGCUAGUGUUUUUAUCCUCGAUUUCCUUCUUCCCCUAAUACAUUAUGUUAUGGAAUUUGUUAGAUACCUAGAUUAGUAUAGGGUUGGGGUAUAAGGUAAUUAGAUAUUUAGAAAGUUACUAGUAGUUAUUGUGUAAGUGUGGUUACUAGUAGUUAUUAUGUAAGUGUGGUAACUAGGGUGGUUACAUGUUAUUAUAAAUGGAGGGAGGGUAAGUGGGGAGAAUUCUGGGGAGUGAUAUAAGGCUUGGGUGAGAGUACUCAAGAGGGAGGGUUCCAAGUGCUUUAUACUUGGUUUUAUCUUGUAUUUUCUUAUAGUUACAUUAUAAUAAAUUCAGAUCUUGUUCUUGUUAGGAAGUAUAUGUCUCCAAUAUUAUUUAAAUACAGUAGAAGAAUUAAAAGGGUAAUAUUGACCCACACGAGAAUAUAGGAGAGAUUAUAGGAGGAGAGAAUAUCGGAGGAGAUCCCAUUAGUUUGUUAGUAAAGCAAAAUAAAAGGGAGGAAAGAGGAGGGAGAAAGGGGACAAAAUAUUCCAAAGAAGUAGAGGCUGCCGUCUUUCGUGCUCGGGAGAAGUAGAGGGUCCAAGUCAAGUUCUUUUUAUUCGACAAUCUCCGGAAGAAUGGAAGGAUCGUCGAGCAAAGGACCAACGAUUGAGAGUAUCAUCGAAGGUGGAGGUAAGACAUUGAAGGAAAUCAAGGUAGAAGGUAAAACAAACAAGUUUGAAAGGGAUGAAAACUCAAACGAUCAUAGCAAAUUCAAGAAGGUUGAAAUGCCUGUGUUCAGUGGCACUGAUCUGGAUUGUGUUUAUUUAGAAUGGAUUGGAAUCUUCAGGUCCAUAAAUCGAUGGACUCCAAGAAGUUGCUGAAUCCAUAGAAGAAUCGAGGAAAACGCGAUUGCAACGGUUAUACAACGAAGGUGAAGAGGAUGGCAAAGAGUGACCAAGAAGAAACUAUAGAGGAAGGUCGAUGAUGAUUACCUGUGAGGCUCGAAAUGAAGACUCGAGUGAAGAAAAAUUUGUUGCUCACAGAAACACAAAAUGGCUGGUUGCAAUGGAGAAAGAAGAAGCCGACAGUUACCGGUCUACAGAGGCUCGAGAAGGUGGUCUGGAAUAGGGGUGAAUCACGUGACGAGGAAGAAGUUGCUGCACACAUGAUGGUGCCAAUGACGUGGUAGAAAUUGGUAGGAAAGAGGAUUAGGACAAAAGGAACAAUCUUGGGUUUUACUAUUUCAAGUGGGCUUCAACUUACUCUAAAUGAGCUUCAACUUAUUCUAAAUAAAACAUUGGGGGCACAUCAUUUUGUAGAUGAAGUGGGUGGAGAGUUCCAAAAAUAGGAGGGAAGAAAAACGUGUAUGUAGGUGGGUCCUAGGAAUGAAACCGGCGGCAGUAUGAUUUUGAUCUUGACGCAACAAUUUGAUUAUGGCCUAGCCCACUAGAGAUGAAGGGUUUGAAAAUUAAACACUUGUUGGUGAUAUGCAAAGGGUUAACUAAGACAAUGUGUUAUGGAAAAGGAAAAUUCAAGUACAUUGGGCUGCUUUGUGGGCUGAAGUCAAUGGACCUUAUUGGAAUCGAGAGUUUUUCAAAGCCGAAGGGGAGGAUUUCUUUUUCAACAUUGAAGAGCAGAAUGCUGGGGAUUGUUUGCAAUUAAAAAGAGAAAAAAAGAGAAAGGGGCCUUGAUCAUGUUUGUAAGCACACCUUGAGGACAAGGUGUUUUGAAGGAUCGGGUAAUGUUAGAUACCUAGAUUAGUAUAAGGUUAGGGGUAUAAGGGUAAUUAGAUAUUUAGAAAGUUACUAGUAGUUAUUAUGUAAGUGUGGUUACAUCUUAUUAUAAAUGGAGGGAGGGUAAGUGAGGGGAGAAUUCUGGGGAGUGAUCUAGGGCUUGGGUGAGAGUACUCAAGAGGGAGGUUCCAAGUGCCUUAUACUUGGUUUUAUCUUGUAUUUUCUUAUAGUUCAUUAUAAUAAAUUAAGAACUUGUUCUUGUUAGGAAGUAUCCUAACAGAAUAACUCUAGAAGGUCUCAUGUUAGCGAAUGAUAAUCUGCGUUAAGUGUGUAUUUGUAGGAGUUCUUCUCCCGGGCAUCUAUGGUUGAUAUUCUUUACCUUUCAAUAUAUCAAAGCCAAGGAUUCUUUUGCAUUUCUCUAUGCUUUUUCUUUACCCAUUUAUGCUUUUUUUAGUUAUAUUUGAGAGUAGUAUUUCAUUUCUUUCAUGUGAAAUGUUGAACUUCAGUAGUGUGGAGAGUGGAACGUAAUAUCUUACCUUUUAUAUUAGUAAACUUGAUUUUAAGCAAUGUGUUUUUGAAGAUUUUAUGUUGUAGAAUGUUUUUUGUUCUUCAAGCUACUGUUCUUAACUUUAUUUUCUCCUGUUAAUGUUCUCAAUGAUUAUCGAGCAUAUGCAUUACCAUGUGGCUUCAAGCGUGUCAGUGUGCUCUUGCUCAUAAUUUUUACUAUAUCUUGUUACUAAAAUUGCAAGUUAAUUGCAAAUUACUCAGAGCUUGGAUUGUCUCCUCCAGUUGGUUAAAGGAAAGCUACCGGGAAGGCAGAUUUGUUGGUAAGUUCGAAUGGCUUGCUAGUAUCAAAGCGUAAUGUAUUUUCUUCCACUUAUGUUUUUCAUCCUACCUAAUUUUUGUGAUUGAUUAAUUCCUUAUGGAUCUGCAGACGAGUUGCCUUACAUACUAAAUGAUGAUGACUACAUAUCGAAGUAUCGAGCCAGCCUAAAAGCUGUAGUUCUCAGGGCAAAAGCAUGUUCUUGAGCUUUAUUUGAAGGGUAUGAUGUUUGCAUAUCAGCUCACGCUCAACCACCACCUAAAACUCUAUCCCUGAUAGUCAAGUCAGCCGGUGGAAAUGUAAGUUCUCUGUUAUUGUACAAAUCUCGAGUACUAGGUUUGGUUCUCUAUAUUACAUAUACAACCACUAUAAUAUGGCUAUCCUCCCAUCUAAUGAAGACGUGAAGUUCUCAAAAAACAAGCACGUAUACGAAUUCUAGACAUGGGUCAAUAAAUCAUAGACAUGGUGACGUGUCAUUUUUUUCUUAAAAAUAUAGGAUAGUGCUAGAACACAGUUUUAAUAUAUAUAAUUUAAAAAGUAUGUAUCAUAUUUAUAUAGAAAUUCAAAGUCAAUAAGUUUAUGUAUUUAUAUGCUUAAAAAUAAGCUUGUCCUUCACUCAAAACUUAUUCAAAGCCAAGAGUUUAAUAUGUGUGUGUGACCAAUCUUGACCUUUAUUGCAUUGGAAUACUUGUUGUCUAACACAUCUACUACUAACUAGUGUUCAACACGUGUUCUCCGAGUGUUCCAUACAUAUUGUUUAUUGAUACACUACCCAAACUAGAGUGUAUGUGCUUCUUUAAGUCUUUAAUAUUUAUGUUUGUUUUGAUCCUAGGAAUUGAGCAUGUAAUGUAAAAAGUCUAUGCACAAGGGGUCAUAUGGCCAUCUCCGUGUUUCUUUAAUUAUCAAAUUUGUUCAAGUUUUUAAUUGUCUCUAGAUCGAAAUCUGGAGUUAUUUUUUGUGAUUUGGUGUACAAAUACAUACAUCCAUGUUUCUAAUUAUGAUUAGAUUGUUUUCUGGUCGCAACAUUUUAUUGUUUAGCUUGUCUUUGAUCUUGAACUUACUAUUAUGUUGAUUUAAAUUCCAUUUUAGCCUUAGAACUUUCAAAACAUCCAUUUUAGUCAUCGAGCUUCCAAAACGUAGCCAACUAACGGUUUUAGUAUUUUGUAAAUUAUUUUAUCAAUUAAUAUUCAUUUAUCCAAUACUCAUCGGUCAUUUCUGCUAUAUGUGAUUGGAAUAUAUCUCAUAGGAAGCAUUUUGAAAGUUGGGAAAAGAUGAAAAAUUUUAGGGACUAGAACAAGAAUUUGUUUAAUAUUUUUUGAUAGGGUGAAUACUUGCAAUUUCCUUGUAGUAUAUACAUAAUUUUUUCUCUCAUUUGGCAAAUUCAUUAUGCUUGAAAAUUUAGGUGAUUCAUGAGCUAGAUAAAGUAAACAACGUAUGGAAGACGAGCUUUGUGGCUUGUGAGGAAGACGUGGAGGAAGCCUUGGUGGCCGUAGAAAAAGGGAUAUGGACUUUCAACGUUGAAUGGCUAAUGGCAUGUAUAAUGAGACAAGAAGUAGACUUGGAGGCCCCUCAAUUUGCUGAGUCCCUAUGAGAAACAAGGUCACCCUAACUUUCAAUUUUGAACAAGCAGCAGCCAGCCAUUUCGUCCUUGUGUAAAUCCACUCUUUUCUCAACUCACUCUAAUUUGGUACAUAAACAAACUCUGAUCGCUCCAUCUCUAUAUUCAUCAGUACAUAAAAGACGAUAAGUUUAUUCAUGGAGAAAGUUGGAUGUAAGUAUGUUUUAGGAAUGGUCCUUCAUUUAGUAACUUUGGGAAUUGUAAAAUGAGGUAAUGAAGUUCUAUCAAGUUGAAUGUUCUUGUUUAUGUUGGAUGAGACUGAUUCUUGGAUACCAGAAUUAACUUGAAGUACGUGUUUGAGUUCCAUUGGAGUGAUUAGAGAAAAAAUGUUCCUUUAAAAAGGGUAUUUUUUUUAUGUAGACUUUCUUUUUAUUAAAAUUGCUUAAAAUACAAUUUGAGAGUAUUUCAAUAGCUUUCAAAGAGUUGUCAAACACUUGUAGUUUUUCUAAAAUAACAUAUUUUCAAAAUUAAUUACUGUAAUAGUUAAACAAAAGAUUCUUUCCCUUAGAACUUUUAAAGUUUGUCUAGUUACCUCUUAAACCUUUCAAUUGUUUAAUAGGUCUUUCAAUUUUAUGUUUUAAGUGUCUAUAAAUUUUGAUUUUUUUUUAUUUGUUAGAUAUAAAUCUGAAGAAAUGAAUAAAGUAGAUUGUAAGUAAAAUAGUUUAAAAGUUGAGAAAUUAAAUUUGUGGUUUAAAAAGUUGGAGUAAAUAGUUUGUGUUAAGUCGGGUUGUGAUAUUUUAUUUAUUUAUUUUAAUAAUAGAAGAGAGGGAGACGAAAACUGCAAACUGAAGGGAGAAGAAGCGGUGGCUGAAUUUGUAUAUUUCUCCUUUCUUUUCAAUUUGAGAAAAUUUCUUUGCAAUUCACUUUGAAAAGGAAAUGAAUUGUAACGACCCAACUUUUCUAGGUAAGUCGAGGUCAUUAAUUUUUGACAAAAGACUUUGGUUGAUACAAAAUGAAACGUAAGCCAAUUUAAAAACAACUUUAAGUCAGGCCUGAUUUUCUAAUAUAAAAAAAAAACUUAAAAAUAAUACUAUUUACAAAUAAAAGUUUGUAAACUAAAUUUCAAUACAACAUCUUAAACCUCAAAAGAAACCAUAAGCGGAAGCAAAAUGACACGUUUCCUAUGGCAAUCACGCUUCCUUCCUGCCCCUCGCCGAUUUGCCACCUUUAUUUCCUUUGCCUGAAAAUUAAACAUAAGAAGGGUGAGUAUAACAAUACUCAGUAAGAGACCCUCUACUGGUCCCGUCAGGGGAAAAUAAAUUGUUAACAUUCUAUUGGGACACCCUGUACAGUCGCAGUCUUGUGAUCCCGUAGGAUGCACAUUUCAGUCUAACGCCCGAGGGACGUACAUAUCAGUCUAGUGUUCUGCAGAAACACAUAUCAGUCUAAUGCCCGAAGGUGCAGAAUAAAUUGGUGAUCCCGUGGGACACCUACAAGGCACACAUCCCAAUAAAAGCUAACAAUUUUCCCCUCAUUCCAUUCAAUCCAUCUUUCAGUUACUUCAAAAUAUAAAGUUCUUUCUCUCAACGUCCUAACAGUCAACUUAUCUCACUUUAGUCAUAUGUCUGUCAAUAACAUACUAAUACGUCAGUCAAUCAAACUAUACAGUCAAUACACCCCUCAGUUCACCAGCACACAGUCAUACUUUAGCGUAACGUACACCCAGUCUAAACGACAAUCACAAGUUCACAUCUGCAUCUCAUACAAACACAAUCUACAAUUUUCGUCCUGUCCACAUCCACACACAUAUAUAUAUUCCAAGACAAUCACAAUAUGCAUUCAACACUAAGUCUACUUCAAUCCAUAUGUAUAUAUAUAUUUUCAGUCAAUCCACAGUAUACAUUCAACACCGAAUCUACAUCCAUACGUGUAUAUAUAUAUAUCAUCUCAACAUCUUUACUCAGUCAGAGACAAUCAUACAGACAUACAAUUCACAAUCAUAAGUGAGUCCAGUAGAAAAUCCCUUACCUCAAAGUUAGGGAAGCUCCUUAAUCAACUAACGUCCUCGAAACAAUCCUAAGCAAUACAAUACAAAAAUUCGAUUACUUUCAAGAUACAUAUCUCACUUACUUUCCUCAACGUAAGUUCCAACUCACCGAAGUAUUGGCGAACUGAACCCUCAACAAUUCAUAUAUUGGUUGUGAAUUUAAGGGAGCCCAACGUUACUCCCAACACCUCAACGCACGACUGUCGAACUCGCAGCAAAAAUCCUAAGUGUGGGUCGGUCAGCGGUCGGCCAAAGGAGACGUGGCGGCUGCCUCAAAAUCGAUCGACGAUCUGACACGGCGACCGGGCUUCACAAGAUGUAUGCAUCGACGGCUUCACGGAGGUGAAGACAGACGCGGUCGGAGAGUCGCGCGGCAGUGCAGAAAACAGAGGAGAACGAAAUGGGCGGCGGCUGGAAACAGAGGUUGCGCCGCAGGGCUUCACGAACGGCCGACGGUUGCAGCGACGGAUCUGGGUUACUGCAAACUGCAAGGGUGAAGCACGAGCGGCAGCGAGGACCUGGACGGCUCGGCGAUGCAGAUCUGGACGACGCGUUGUGAGCGGGGAGGCACGACAGUUACAGGUGGAUGGCGCGCGGCGGUUUCGAUCCGAAGGAGAAAAGAGAGGGUGGCGGUUGGGUUCGGCUUCGGUGAAUGGAGACGGAAACAGACGAACGGAGAGUCACGCGGGACGACUGCUGCAAGGUUGCUUCGCGAACGGAGAUGGAGAACGGAAGGGAGGGUCGCGGCGCUGGGCGGAAGAAGAAAAGGGAAAAAAGAAAUUUUCAUUUUCUUUUCUUUUUAUUUAAAAAAAUAUAUAAAAUAAAUAUAAUAAAAAUAUAUAAUAAAUAUAUAUAUAUAUUUAAAAUUUUCAUUUUUUUUCUUUUAUUUAAUAAAAUGUAAAAUAAAUAUAAUAAUAAAAAUAUAAUUAAAUACAUAUACAUAUUUAAUUAUAUUAAUACAUUUUCAAAUCUUCUUUCUCCCCUUCAACAUAUUUAAAAAAAAAAUCUUGAACAAAUCGAAAUAAUUCUCUCAAAAUAAUUUACCUUCAAGUUUGGGGCGUUACAUGAAUAUUUCUCCCUCAGGCUUAUCUCUCUCUUCUUCUCAAUUUAUUUUCAAUUUUUCUGUGUGCUUCUCACAGUGUAUGCAUAAUCUCUCUUUCAUUUUGAUCUUCAUCUCCAUUUCAAAUAUCUCCCACACAAAGAACAAAGAAAUGAGUAAAGUAACUGAGAGAGCAUUUUGUUUUUCCCUUCAUAUGGUUGGUUACUUUUUGUCAAUUAAAUGAAAAGUGAAGAAUAAGAUAAGAUUUUCUUUACCCAUUUGCCAUCAUCAUCAAAGCUAUUUACCUCAUUUUUGUUCACACACACACAACUUCAUUUUGUUGGAUUACACUCAUUUGAGAAAAUAGCAAAAUUUUAUUAGAAGAAUAGCAAACAUGAGCAUUUCACGUGUUUUGAAUUUUCAUUAACCCUAAAAUCUCCUCGCCUGCUUUUUAGUUAAACUGUAACUAAUUUUGAAAUAUGCAAAAUUUUAGCAUAAAUAUUGAUUUUCUCCUACAUUAUCUUAACACACUUUUUUUUCCUCCAAAUAUUGGAUUUGUAUCAAAUCUUUAUUUUCAAAUUUUACUUUAUCCAAAUUUUCAUUUUUCAAAAUUUCAUCGUUAUUCUACUUUUAUUUUUGUAUUUCAUAUAUAUAUAUAUAUAUAUAUAUAUAUAUUUAUAAUAUUUAAUCUUAUUUUUUCUCUUUUCCUAUUCAUCUUCUUCCUUUCUCUUCCUCUUCAACCUACGGCCACACCACCGUCUCUUUUCUUCCUUCUCUUUUCAUUCUCCAAUCAACUUCAUCACCGUCUUCCACCUACACCGAACGUCAAGCAAAUUUUGUCCUAUCGUCGCAUCACCGUUAGACCGAGUCACUCCGGUUCCGUCACGCCAUGUAUGUUUAGAUUUGAAUUGUUCGGUUAUUUGUUGCACCGAUCCGUCUCCGUUAGAAUUUGAUUCUCCACAAUUUGGGUAAGUUAUGGAAUUUACAUAUAGAGUGAAUUGAAUGGAUUAAAUUGUUUGUAGAAGUGAUUGAUUUCUCUUCAAUUAUGUUUAGGUCGGUUCGUUGCACUUUAGUUUGAAAAAUAAGCUUAAGUAAGGUUAUAAGGUAAGGGAUUCUCUACUAUUGGACUCACCUAUAGUUCUGAAUUGUGUUGUCUGUAUAGUUACCUCCGAUUGAGUAAAGAUGUCGAAACGAUUGGGACGGAACCAAGAAACCGAGUCAAGGGCAUCACCGUUCGGCUUUUGUGGGCAAGACUCUUCGAGAUCACUCAAAUCGGACCGUCCAGUGGUUAGAUGUGAACUUUCGAGGCCUCCGACCCCGUUCUGAGUCGGUCGUUCCUUUCUAGGUCAUUGUGCCUUUCUUCGACGUUUUGGGACGGAACCAAGAAACCGAGUCUGGGCAUCACCGUUCGGCUUUUGUCGGCAAGAAACUUUGAGAUCACUCAGCAUCAGACCGCCAGUGGUUAGAUGUGAAGUUUCGAGGCCUCCAACCCCGUUUUGAGUCCGGCCGUUCCUUUCUAGGCCAUUGUGCCUUUCUUCGACGUUUUGGGACGGAACCAAGAAACUGAGUCUAGGGCAUCAUCGUUCAGCUUUUGUGGCAAGAAACUUCGAGAUCACUCAGAAUCAGACCGUCCAGUGGCUAGAUGUGAACUUUUGAGGACUCCGACCCCUGUCUGAGUCCGGUCGUUCCUUUCUAGGCCAUUGUGCCUUUCGUCGGCGUUUUGGGACGGAACCAAGAAACCGAGUCUGGGCAUCACCUUUCUUUUGUGGGCAAGAAACUUCAAGAUCACUCAGAAUACGACCGCCCAGUGGUUAGAUGUGAACUUUCGAGGCCUCCGACCCGUUCUGAGUCUGGUCGUUCCUUCCUAGGCCAUUGCCUUUCUCCGGCGUUUUGGGACGGAACCAGAAACUGAGUCUAGGGCAUCACCGUUCGCCUUUUGUGGGUAAGAAACUUCGAGAUCACUAAGAAUCGGACCGCCCAGUGGCUAGAUGUGAACUUUCAAGUUUCCGACCCCUGUCUGAGUCCGGUCGUUCCUUUCUAAGCCAUUGUGCCUUUCUUUGGCGUUUUGGGACGGAACCAAGAAACGAGUCUGGGCAUCAUUCGUUUUGUGGGCAAGAAACUUCGAGAUCACUCAGAACGGACCGCCCAGUGGUUAGAUGUGAACUUUCGAGGCCUCGACCCCGUUCUGAGUUCGGUCGUUCCUUUCUAGGCCAUUGUGCCUUUCUUCGGCGUUUGGACGGAACCAAGAAACCGAGUCUGGGCAUCACCGUUCGGCUUUUGUACAAGAAACUUGAGAUCACUCAGAAUCGGACCGCCAUGGUUAGAUGUGAACUUUCGAGGCCUCGACCCGUUCUGAGUCCAGCGUUCCUUUCUAGGUCAUUGUGCCUUUUUCGGUUUUGGGAGGAACCAAGAAACCGAGUCUGGGCAUCACCGUUCCUUUUGUGGGCAAAAUUUGAGAUCACUCAGAAUCGGACCGCCCAGUGGUUAGAUGUGAACUUUCGAGGCUCCGACCCCGUUCUGUGUCGUUCCUUUCUAGGCCAUUGUGCCUUUCUUGGCGUUUUGGACGAAACCAAACCGAGUCUAGGGCAUCAUCGUUCGCUUUUGUGGGCAAGAAACUUCGAGAUCACUCAGAAUCGGACCGCCCAGUGGCUAGAUGUGAACUUUCGGACUCCGACCCCUUCUGAGCCGGUCGUUCCUUUUAGGCCAUUGUGGCCUUUCUUCGACGUUUUGGACGGAACAAGAAACCGAGUCUGGGCAUCACCGUUCGCUUUUGUGGGAAGAAACUUCGAGAUCACUCAGAAUCGGACCGUCCAGUGGUUAGAUGUGAACUUUCGAGGACUCCGACCCCUGUCUGAGUCCGGUCGUUCCUUUCUAGCCAUUGUGCCUUUCUUGGCGUUUUGGGACAGAACCAAGAAACCGAGUCUGGGCAUCACCGUUCAGCUUUUGUGGGCAAAAAACUUCAAGAUCACUCAGAAUCGGACCGCCCAGUGGUUAGAUGUGAACUUUCGGGCCUCGACCCCGUUCUGAGUCUGGUCGUUCCUUUCUAGGCCAUUGUGCCUUUCUUCGGCGUUUUGGACGAACAAGAAACCGAUUAUGGGCACCGUUCUUUUUGUGGGCAAGAAACUUGAGAUCACUCAGAAUGGACCGCCAGUGGUUAGAUGUGAACUUUCGGGCCUCCGACCCCGUUCUGAGUCCGGUCGUUUUUCUAGGCCAUUGUGCCUUUCUUUCGCGUUUUGGACGGAACCAAGAAACGAGUAUGGGCAUCACCGUUCGGCUUUUGUGGGCAAGAAACUUCGAGAUCACUCAGAAUGGACGCCCAGUGGUUAGAUGUGAACUUUCGAGGCCUCCGACCCCGUUUUGAGCCGGUCGUUCCUUUUAGGCCAUUGUGACUUUCUUCAGCGUUUUGGGACGGAACCAAGAAACCGAGUCUGGGCAUCACCGUUCGGCUUUUGUGGGCAAGAAACUUCGAUAUCACUCAGAAUGGACCGCCAGUGGUUAGAUGUGAACUUUCGGCCUCCGACCCGUCUGAGUCCGGUCGUUUUUCAAGGCCAUUGUGCCUUUCUUUCGCGUUUUAGGAUGAAACCAAAACCGAGUAUGGGCAUCACCGUUGGCUUUUGGGGCAAAAACUUCGAGAUCACUCAGAAUUGGACCGCCUAGUGGUUAGAUGUGAACUUUCGGGCCUCCGACCCCGUUUGAUCGCGUUCCUUUUUAGGCCAUUGUGCCUUUCUUCAGCUUUUUGGGACGAAACAAGAAACCGAGUAUGGGGCAUCACCGUUCAGCUUUUGUGGGCAAGAAACUUCGAGAUCACUCAGAAUCGGACCGCCUAGUGGUUAGAUGUGAACUUUGAGGCCUCCGACCCCGUUCUGAGUCGGUCGUUCUUUCUAGGCCAUUGUGCCUUUCUUCGGCGUUUUGGGACGAAACCAAGAAACCGAGUAUAGGCAUCACCGUUCGGCUUUUGUGGACAAGAAACUUCGAGAUCACUCAGAAUUCGACCGCCAGUAGUUAGAUGUGAACUUUGAGGCCUUCGACCCCGUUCUGAGUCGAUCGUUCCUUUCUAGGCCAUUGUGCCUUUCUUCGGCGUUUUGGGACGGAACAAAGAAACCGAGUGUGGGCAUCACCGUUCGGCUUUUGUGGGCAAGAAAAUUCGAGAUCACUAGAAUCGGACCGCCCAGUGGUUUGAUGUGAACUUUUGGGCCUCCGACCGUUCUUAGUCAGUCGCUCCUUUCUAGGCCAUGUGCCUUUCUUCGACGUUUUAGGGACGGAACCAAGAAACCGAGUAUGGGCCAUCACCGUUCUCUUUUGUGGGCAAGAAACUUCGAGAUCACUCAGAAUCGGACCGCCCAAUGGUUAGAUAUAAACUUUCAAGGCCUCCGACCCCGUUCUGAAUCCGGUCGUUCCUUUCUUGGCCAUUGUGCCUUUCUUCGACGUUUUGGGACGGAACCAAGAAACCGAGUAUGGGGCAUCACUGUUCGGCUUUUAUGGGUAAGAAACUUCGAGAUCACUCAGAAUCGGACCGCCCAGUGGUUAGAUGUGAACUUUCGAGGCCUCCGACCCCGUUCUAUGUAUUGUCGUUCUUUUCUAGGCCAUUGCGCCUUUCUUUAGGGUUUUGAGGCGGAACGAGAAAGAGUCUAGGCAUCACCGUUCGGCUUUCGCAAAAACUUCGAGAUCACUCAGAAUUGGACCAUCAAUAGCUAGAUGUGAACUUUGGAGGCCUCCGUCCCCGUUCUAAGUCCGGCCGUUCCUUUCUAGGCCAUUGUGCCUUUCUUUAGCGUUUUGGGACGGAACCGAGAAACCGAGUCUGGGUCAUCACCUUUCGGCUCUCUUGGGCAAGAAACUUUGAGAACACUCAGAAUCGGACCACUCAGUAGCUAGAUGUGAACUUUCGAGGCCUCCGACCCCGUUCUAAGUCUGGUCGUUCAUUUCUAGGCAAUUGUGCCUUUCUUUGGUGUUUUGGGACGGAACCGAGAAGCCGAGUCUAAGGCAUCACUGUUCGGCUUUCGUAGGAAAGAAACUUCGAGAUCACCCAGAAUCGGACCACUCAGUAGCUAGAUGUGAACUAUCGAGGCCUCCGACCCUAUUCUAAGUCGGGUCGUUUCUUUCUAGGCCAUUGUGCCUCUCUUCGGCGUUUUGAAUGGAACCAAGAAACCGAGUCUGGGGCAUCACCGUUCGACUUUUGUGGACAUGAAACUUUGAGACCACUCAGAAUCAGACCACCCAGUAGCUAGAGGUUAACUUUCGACGCCUCCGACCCUGUUCUAUAUUCGGUCGUUCCUUUCUAGGCCAUUGUGCCUCUCUUUAGGCGUUUUAGGACGGAACCAAGAAACCGAGUCCGGGGCAUCACCGUUUGGCUUUUGUGGGCAAGAAACUUUGAGACCACUCAUAAUCGGAUCACCAGUAGCUAGACGUGAACUUUCAAGGCCUCUGACCCCGUUCUAAGUUCGGUUGUUCCUUUCUAAACCAUUGUGCCUCUUUUUCGGCGUUUUGGGACGGAACCAAGAACCCGAGUCUGGGCAUCACCGUUUGGCUUUUGUGGGCAAAAACCUUCGAGACCACUCAGAAUCAGACCACCGAGUAGCUAGACAUGAACUUUCGAGGCCUCCGACCCCGUUCUGAGUUCGGUCGUUCAUUUCUAGGACAUUGUGCCCUUCUUUCGACGUUUUUGGACGGAACCAAGAAACUGAGUCUGGGCAUCACCGUUCGGUUUUUGUGGGAAAGAAACUUUGACACCACUCAGAAUCGGACCAUCCAGUAGCUAGACGUGAACUUUCGAGGCCUCCGACCCAGUUCUAAGUCCGGUCGUUCCUUCCUAGGCCAUUGUGCCUUUCUUUCGGCGUUUUGGGACGGAACCAAGAAACUGAGUCUGGGCAUCACCGUUCGGUUUUUGUGGGAAAGAAACUUUGACACCACUCAGAAUCGGACCAUCCAGUAGCUAGACGUGAACUUUCGAGGCCUCCGACCCAGUUCUAAGUCCGGUCGUUCCUUCCUAGGCCAUUGUGCCUUUCUUUCGGCGUUUUGGGACGGAACCAAGAAACCUAGUCUUGGGCAUCACCGUUAAGCUUUUGUGGUAAAGAAACUUCGAGACCACUCAGAAUCGGACCACCCAGUAGCUAGACGUAAACUUUCGAGCACUCCGACCCCAUUCAAAGUCCGGUCGUUCCUUUCUAGGCCAUUGUGCCUCUCUUUCGCCGUUUUGGCAAGGAACCAAGAAACCGAGUUUGGGCAUCACCGUUUGGCUUUUGUGGGCAAGAAACUUCGAGACCACUCAAAAUCGGACAACCUAGUAGCUAGACGUGAACUUUCGAGGCCUUCGACUCCGUUCUAAGUUUGGUCGUUCCUUUCUAAACCAUUGUGCUUCUCUUUCGGUGUUUUGGGACGGAACCAAGAACCGAGUCUGGAACAUCACCGUCUGACUUUUGUGGACAAAAAACAUCGAGACCAAUCAGAAUCAGACCACCGAGUAGCUAGACGUGAACUUUCGAGGCCUCCGAACCCGUUCUAAGUUCGGUCGUUCCUUUCUAGGCCAUUGUGCCACUCUUUCGGCGUUUUUGGACGGAACCAGGAAACCGAGUUUGGGGCAUCACCGUUCGGCUUUUGUGGGCAAGAAACUUUGAGACCACUUAGAAUCGGACCACCCAGUAGCUAGACGUGAACUUUCGAGGCCUCCGACCCCGUUCUAAUUCUGGUCGUUCCUUUCUAGGCCAUUGUGCCUCUCUUUCGCCGUUUUGGCAAGGAACCAAGAAACCGAGUCUGGGCAUCACCUUUUGGCUUUUGUGGGCAAGAAACUUCGAGACCACUCAGAAUCGGACCACCCAGUAGCUAGACGUGAACUUUCAAGGCCUUCGACUCCGUUCUAAGUUUGGUCGUUCCUUUCUAAACCAUUGUGCCUCUCUUUCGGCGUUUUGGGACGGAACCAACAACCGAGUCUGGAACAUCACCGUCCGGCUUUUAUGGGCAAAAAACAUCGAGACCAAUAAGAAUCGGACCACCGAGUAGCUAGACGUGAACUUUCGAUGCCUCCGAACCCGUUCUAAGUUCGGUCGUUCCUUUCUGGGCCAUUGUGCCUCUCUUUCGGCAUUUUUUGACGGAACCAAGAAACCAAGUCUAGGGCAUCACCGUUCGGCUUUUGUGGGCAAGAAACUUCGAGACCACUUAGAAUCAGAUCACCCAGUUUGUAGACGUGAACUUUCGAGGCCUCCGACCCCGUUCUAAGUCCGGUCGUUCCUUUCUAGGCCAUUGUGCCUUUUUUCGGCGUUUUGGGACGGAACCAAGAAACUGAGUCUGGGGCAUCACCGUUCGGCUUUUGUGGGCAAGAAACGUGGAGACCACUCAGAAUUGGACCACCCAGUAACUAGACGUGAACUUUCGAGGCCGCCGACCCCGUUCUAAGUCCGGUCGUUCCUUUCUAGGCCAUUGUGCCUUACUUUCGGCGUUUUGGGACGGAACCAAGAAACCGAGUUUGGGGCAUCACCGUUCGGCUUUUGUGGGUAAGAAACUUCGAGACCACUCAGAAUUGGACCACCUAGUAGCCAGACGUGAACUUUAGAGGCCUCCGACCCCGUUCUAAGUUCGAUCGUUCCUUUCUAGGCCAUUGUGCCUUUCUUUCGGCGUUUUGGGACGGAACCAAGAAACCGAGUCUGGGGCAUCACCGUUCGGCUUUUGUGGGCAAGAAACUUCGAGACCACUCAGAAUCGGACCACCCAGUAGCCAGACGUGAACUUUCGAGGCCUCCGACCCUGUUCUAAGUCUGGUCGUUCCUUUCUAGGCCAUUGUGCCUUUCUUUUGCCGUUUUGGGACGGAACCAAGAAACCAAAGUCUGGGGCAUCGCCGUUCGGCUUUUGUGGGUAAGAAACUUCAAGACCACUCAGAAUCGGACCACCCAGUAGGCAGACGUGAACUUUCGAGGCCUCCGACCCCGUUCUAAGUCAGGUCAGUCGUUCCUUUCUAGGCCAUUGUGUCUUUCUUUCGGCGUUUUGGGACGGAACCAAGAAACCGAGUCUGGGGCAUCACCGUUAGGCUUUUGUGUGCAAGCAACUUCGAGAACACUCAGAAUCGGACCACCCAGUAGGUAGACGUGAUCUUUCGAGGCCUCCGACCCCGUUCUAAGUCUGGUCGUUCCUUUCUAGGCCAUUGUGCCUUUAUUUUGGCGUUUAUGACGGAACCAAGAAACCGAGUCUGGGGCAUCUCCGUUCGGCUUUUGUGGGUAGGAAACUUUGAGACCACUUGGAAUCGGACCACCCAGUAGCUAGACGUGAACUUUGAGGCCACCAACCCCGUUCUAAGUCCGGUCGUUCCUUUCUAGGGUAUUGUGCCUUUCUUUCGGCGUUUUGGGACGGAACCAAGAAACCGUGUCUGGGGCAUCACCGUUCGGCUUUUGUGGGCAAGAAACUUUGAGACCACCCAGUAGCUAGACGUGAAGUUUCAAGGCCUCCGACCCCGUUCUAAGUCCGGUCAUUCCUUUCUAGGCCACUGUGCCUUUCUUUCGCCGUUUUGGGACGGAACCAAGAAACCGAGUCUAGGGCAUCACCGUUCAGCUUUUGUGGGCAAGAAACUUCGAGACCACUCAGAAUCGGACCACCUAGUAGCUAGACGUGAACUUUCGAUGUCGCCGACCCCGUUCUAAGACUGGUCGUUCCUUUCUAGGCCACUGUGCCUUUCUUUCGGCGUUUUGGGACGGAACCAAGAAACCGAGUCUGGGGCAUCAUCGUUCGGCUUUUGUGGGCAAGAAACUUCGAGACCACUCAGAAUCGGACCACCCAGUAGCUAGACGUGAACUUUCGAGGCCUCCGACCCCGUUCUUAAGUCUAGAUAAAACAUCCAAGUAUAACCAUUAUACAGGAUUUUAACCUAUGAUGUCUAGGUGAUAAACCAUUUUUAUUACCACACACCUCUCACGAAUGCUCAUAAAACUAGGUUAACUAGGCUCAAGAACUGAUUACGAUCUCCAGGUAGGAGGUGUUCUGUAAACCGUCAACUUAAGAACCUCCAACCUUAGUAAUCUUAUCUGACUUGUUGACAAGAUUGAACCAAGUGAGCCUUUUCUAACCUUUUUUACAAGAUAUCGACCUAUUUCUAUGAAAAAUGGAAGAUAUGUUUAACCUAAGUGAGCAUGCAUUUAAUCUUUGUUAUUGAUUUUAGAAGUCUAAUUUAUUUUAUAACACUUAUAAAAUUUUUUAGACUUAAUCAAUCAUUUUAUCAAUAUAUAAACUUAUAAAAACAAUCAAUUAAUAUGGAUUUUAAUUUAUUUAACUUUAAUUAAAUCAUAUUUAAUUAAAUUAAAUCAAACAAUAAUUAAUUAAUUUGAUUAAAUCAUAUUUAAUCAAGAAUAACUUAAUUAAAUAAAUACUUAAUUAAUCAUAUUAAUUAAUUUCCAUAUUAAUCAAUUAACAUGCAUACAAUACAAUAUAACCUUUAUAUGAUACAUUUUAAUGCAUGAACAUGUUAACCUAUGGUGGGAUUUUAAAUCUAUAUGACAUUCAAAAUGCACAUACAAAUUUAAAGUAAUUUAAUCAUACAUCACAUGCAUAAAUAAAAAAAACACCCUAAAAUGGACUGAUUUUUGGCUCCUAAAUUAAGCUAAGUACUAAAUUAUUACAUAAUUACUUUGGUGUAGUACAGAACCACUCCCAAAAACUUCGAACCGGCUGAAAAACAAACUGAAACCGCUUGAAUCGGCCCAAAAACCAAAUUUAUUGCUUGAACCGGCCCAGGCGCACACCGUCGGGCGCGAACGCGCGGCGCGCGCGGCACAUGCGGGCGCGUGCGGACGCGGAGGGCGCGCGGCGCGUGCGCGGUCGCGAAGGGUCAAGGCGGGUCUGUGACCUUCUUUUCUUCAUUUUUUUCAAUUCUCUCACCCGGUUGAACCAGUUACAGCCUAACUUCAACUCUAGUGACCUUUUUUAUUUUAAAUAAUAAUUACAAACACUUUGCAACAAUAAAAAUUAGCCAUUAACAAGGCUAAUUACAAUAAUUAGAACAAAAACACUUAAUCUAGAGCCAAAAUUUAUCUAAUAAAUAUGAACCCACCACAUGCAAUUGGGUAAAAAUGAAGCAUGCCCUGAUACCAAAUGAUAGAACUAAGUCAUGCACAGCGGAAAAAGAAUCGAAUUUCUACCCUAAUUGCCACAAUUAACAUGUAACCAUAAACUAAUCAAAUUAGGUUUUAAGAAAUAUUACCUUUGAAGCUUUAAAGGUUGAUAUCUUCUUACCAAUUCUAACCGAGACCACCACUAGUACUCAACUGCUAUCCUCUAGACAAAGAACCGGGUUGUGGACCCAAUUUUGGUGUAGAAGUAAUGGAGAUAAAAUGGUAUUGGAAGGUUUUUUUUUUUUGUUUGAGAUGAUGAAAUGAUAAAAGAGGCAAAAGUUUUUUCAACAUUUACACCUCUAUUUAUAACCUAAUUACAUGCAAAAAUGCAUGCAAUUCAUUUGCAAAAUCUCAACACCUAAUGUUCAAUACAAUUAGUGGAACUUAGUGGCUAGGUGUCUAUAUCUCAUAUAGCCACAUAUCCCACUAAGAGUUAGUGGAUUAUCCAACAAAAUGUUGGAUUUUCCCACUAACUUAGUAAAAUGGUCAUUAGAUAUUUUUAGUCAAAAGUCAAACUAUGACUUUUCUUAGUCAAAAGUCAAUAUUUUGACUUUUUACUAUUUUGUCCGUCUUUACUAAUUCCAACCUCCCGAGCAUGAAUCCGCAUUCAUUUUUCCAAAAUUCAAAUCACAUUUGAAUAUAAGGUCGGUCAAAGUUUGACUUUUCAAAGUCAAAACUCAACAUUUUGACUUUUUACUAUUUUUUGACCAAUUCCAUCAAUUCCGAGCUUCUUAGUAUGAAUCCGCAUUCAUACUUAUAGUAUGUAAAACAUAAAGCUAUAUUUCUAAUUAGAAGACCGACGACUAUAUCACUAUAUUUGUCGGUUUCCCUUUCUUCUCCCAAUUCGAACAAUUCGACUUAUUUCAUCACAUUGUUCUAAGUUUAAUCCAUAUGAGCUAGCAGAUGAACCUAAUGGACCUAUAGAUCAUGGGCUCCAACGAUUCAAGAUUAACUAGCUAAACUCUUUUAAACCGAGUUAAUCAACAUUCGUUAACUAACGGGUCAUUCCACUAAAGUCCCGUAGUUGCACUCCCCUCACUAUAGAUAUAUUUGUGUCCAUUUGAUAAAAGCAUAAUCAGUAAGUUAAUCCUUCACAGGUUGCUCGUAACCUUGGCUGGGUCAAAAUACCGUUUUACCCCCAAGAUUACAUCUUGCUCCUUAAGUCCUACUAGGAUGCCCCCACUUUCAUGUCUCUACAUGAACGAUUAGGAUCACUUCGUUUGUACUACAAAGUGGGCCGCAUCCAUAGUUUCUCUAAAUACGCGCCCAACCUAUAUUUCAUAUAUUAUAGACUAUUUAGGCUAUAUACUCGAACUUGAUCCACGUUUAUGUUUACACAUAAAGUUCAAGUUUAUUCAAAAAUAGCCUUGGAACAUGAUUUAUUGGAUUUAAGAUUAUAAUAUUUAAUUUCUCAAUAACAACUUUAUUAAACAGAAUAUGAUUUACAAACUACGGGUUUUAGGACAAAAAAUUCCAACAGGUCGUUCCUUUCUAGGCCACUGUGCCUUUCUUUCGGCGUUUUAUGACGGAACCAAGAAACCGAGUCUAGGGCAUCACCGUUCGGCUUUUGUGGGCAAGAAACUUCGAGACCACUGAGAAUCGGACCACCCAGUAGCUAGACGUGAACUUUCGAGGCCGCCGACCCCGUUCUAAGUCCGGUCGUUCCUUUCUAGGCCACUAUGCCUUUCUUUCGGCGUUUUGGGACGGAACCAAGAAACCGAGUCUGGGGCAUCACCGUUCGGCUUUUGUGGGCAAGAAACUUCGAGACCACUCAGAAUCGGACCACCCAGUAGCUAGCCGUGAACUUUCAAGACCACCGACCCCGUUCUAAGUCCGGUCGUUCCUUUCCCUAGGCCAUUGUGCCUUUCUUUCGACGUGUUGGGACGGAACCAAGAAACCGAGUCUGCGGCAUCACCAUUUGGCUUUUGUGGGCAAGAAACUUCGAGACCACUCAGAAUCGGACCACCCAGUAGCUAGACGUGAAUUUUCGAGGCCGCCGACCCCGUUCUAAGUCCCGUCGUUCCUUUCUAGGCCACCUUGCCUUUCUUUCGGCGUUUUGGGACGAACCAAGAAAUCGAGUCUGGGCAUCACCGUUCGGCUUUUGUGGGCAAGAAACUUCGAGACCACUCAGAAUCGGACCACCCAGUAGCUAGACGUGAACUUUUGAGGCCACCAACCCCGUUCUAAGUCCGGUCGUUCCUUUCUCUAGGCCAUUGUGCCUUUCUUUCGGCGUGUUGGGACGGAACCAAGAAACCGAGUCUGCGGCAUCACCGUUUGGCUUUUGUGGGCAAGAAACUUCGAGAACAUUCAGAAUCGAACCACGCAGUAGCUAGACGUGAAUUUUCGAGGCCGUCGACCCCGUUCUAAGUCCCGUCAUUCCUUUCUAUGCCACCGUGCCUUUCUUUCGGCGUUUUGGAACGAAACCAAGAAACCGAGUCUGGGGCAUCACCUUCGGCUUUUGUGGGCAAGAAACUUCGAGACCGCCCAGAAUCGGACCAUCCAGUAGCCAGACGUGAACUUUCGAGGACUCCGACCCCGUUCUAAGUCCGGUCGUUCCUUUUUAGGCCAUUGUGCCUUUCUUUCGGCGUUUUAGGACGAAACAAAGAAACCGAGUCUGGGCAUCACCGUUCGGCUUUUGUGGGCAAGAAACUUCGAGACCACUCAGAAUCGAACCACCCAGUAGCCAGACGUGAACUUUCGAGGCCUCCGACCCCGUUCUAAGUCCGGUCGUUCCUUUCUAGGCCAUUGUGCCUUUCUUUCGGCGUUUUAGGACGGAACCAAGAAACCGAGUCUAGAUAUCACCGUUCGGCUUUUGUGGGCAAGAAACUUCGAGACCGCCCAGAAUCGGACCACCGAGUAGCCAGACGUGAACUUUCGAGGCCUCCGACCCCGUUCUCAGUCCGAUCGUUCCUUUCUAGGCCAUUGCGCCUUUCUUUCAGCUUUGGACGGAACCAAGAAACCGAGUCUGGGGCAUCACCGUUCGGCUUUUGUGGGCAAGAAACUUCGAGACCACUCAGAAUCGGACCACCCAGUAGCCAGAUGUGAACUUUCGAGAUCUCCGACCCCGUUCUAAGUCUCGUCGUUCAAUUCUUGGCCAUUGUGCCUUUCUUUUGGCGUUUUGGGACGGAACCAAGAAACCGAGUCUGGGGAAUCACCGUUCGGCUUUUGUGGGCAAGAAACUUCGAGACCACUCAGAAUCGGACCACCCAGUAGCUAGACGUGAACUUUCGAGGCCUCCGACCCCGUUCUACGUCAGGUCGUUCCUUUCUAGGCCAAUGUGCCUUUCUUUCGGCGUUUUGGAACGGAACCAAGAAAUCGAGACUAGGGCAUCACCAUUCGGCUUUUGUGUGCAAGAAACUUCGAGACCACUCAGAAUCGGACCACCCUGUAGCUAGAUGUGAACUUUCGAGGCCUCCUACCCGUUCUAAGUUUGGUCGUUCCUUCCUAGGCCUUUGUGCCUUUCUUUCGGCGUUUUGGGACGGAACCAAGAAACCGAGUCUGGGGCAUCACCGUUCGGCUUUUGUGGGCAAGAAACUUCGAGACCACUCAGAAUCGGACCACCCAGUAGCUAGACUGAACUUUCGAGGCCUUCGACCCCGUUCUAAGUCCGGUCGUUCCUUUCUAGGCCAUUGUGCCUUUCUUUCAGCGUUUUGGGACGGAACCAAGAAACCGAGUCUAGGGCAUCACCCUUCGACUUUUGUGGGCAAGAAACUUCGAGACCACUAAGAAUCGGUCCACCAAGUAGCUAGACGUGAACUUUCGAGGCCUCCGACCCCGUUCUAAGUUCGGUCGUUCCUUUAUAGGCCAUUGUGCCUUUCUUUCGACGUUUUGGGACGGAACCAAGAAACCGAGUCUAGGGCAUCACUGUUCGGCUUUUGUGGGCAAGAAACUUCGAGACCACUCAGAAUCAGACCACCCAGUAGCCAGACGUGAACUUUCGAGGCCUCCAACCCCGUUCUAAGUCCGGUCGUUCCUUUCUAGGCCAUUGUGCCUUUCUUUCGGAGUUUUGGGAUGGAACCAAGAAACCUAGUCUCGGCAUCACCGUUCGGCUUUUGUGGGCAAGAAACUUCGAGACCACUAAGAAUCGGACCACCCAGUAGCUAGACGUGAACUUUCGAGGCCUCCGACCCCGUUUUCAGUCCGGUCGUUCCUUUCUAGGCCAUUGGCCUUUCUUUCGCGUUUUGGGACGGAACCAAGAAACCGAGUCUGGGGCAUCAUCGUUUGGCUUUUAUGGGCAAGAAACUUCGAGACCACCCAGUCGCUAGACGUGAAAUUUCGAGGCCUCCGACCCCGUUCUAAGUCCGAUCGUUCCUUUCUAGGCCAUUGUGCCUUUCUUUCGGCAUUUUGGGACGAAACCAAUAAACCGAGUCUGGGCAUAACCGUUCGGCUUUUGUGGGCAAGAAACUUCGAGACCACUCAGAAUCGGACCACCUAGUAGCCAGACGUGAACUUUCGAGGCCUCCGACCCCGUUCUAAGUCGGUCGUUCCUGUGUAGGCCAUUGUGCCUUCUUUCGGCGUUUUGGGACGGAACCAAGAAACCGAGUCUGGGCAUCACCGUUUGGCUUUUGUGGGCAAGAAACUUCGAGACCACUCAGAAUCGGACCACCCAGUAGCCAGACGUGAACUUUCGAGGCCUCCGACUUCGUUCUAAGUCUGGUUGUUCCUUUCUAGGCCAUUGUGCCUUUCUUUCGGCAUUUUGGGACGGAACCAAGAAACCGAGUCUGGGGCAUCACUGUUCGGCUUUUGUGGGCGAGAAACUUCGAGACCACUCAGAAUCGGACCACCAUGUAGCAAGACGACAACAUUCAAGGCCUCCGACCCCGUUUUAAGUCCGAUUGUUCCUUUCUUGGACAUUGUGCCUUUCUUUCGGCGUUUUGGGACGGAACCAAGAAACCGUCAGGCAUCACCGUUCGGCUUUUUGGGCAAGAAACUUCGAGACCGCUUAGAAUCGGACCACCCAGUAGCCAGACGUGAACUUUCGAGGCCUCGACCACGUUCUAAGUACGGUCGUUCCUUUCUAGGCCAUUGUGCCUUUCUUUUGGCGUUUUAGGACGGAACCAAGAAACCGAGUAUGGGGCAUCACCGUUCGGUUUUUGUGGGCAAGAAACUUUGAGACCACUCAGAAUCGGACUACCAUGUAGCCAGACGAGAACUUUCGAGGCCCCCGACCCCGUUCUAAUUCCGGUCGUUUCUUUCUAGGACAUUGUGCCUUUCUUUCGGCGUUCUGGGACGGAACCUAGAAACCGAGUUUGGGCAUCACCGUUCAGCUUUUGUGGGCAAGAAACUUCGAGACCACUCAGAGUUGGACCACUCAGUAGCCAGACGUCAACUUUCGAGGCCUCCGACCCCGUUCUAAGUCCGGUGGUUCCUUUCCAGCCAUUGAGCCGCUCUUUCGGCGUUUUGGGACGGAACCAAGAAACCGAGUCUGGGCAUCAUCGUUCGGCUUUUGUGGGCAAAACUUCGAGACCACUCAGAAUCGACCACCAGUAGCUAGACGUGAACUUUCGAGGCCUCCGACCCCGUUCUACGUCAGGUCGUUCCUUUCUAGGCCAAUGUGCCUUUCUUUCGGCGUUUUGGAACGAAACCAAAAUCGAGACUAGGCAUCACCAUUCGGCUUUUGUGUGCAAGAAACUUCGAGACCACUCAGAACGGACCACCCUGUAGCUAGAUGUGAACUUUGAGGCCUCCUACCCGUUCUAAGUUUGGUCGUUCCUUCCUAGCCCUUUGUGCCUUUCUUUCGGCGUUUUGGACGGAACCAAGAAACGAGUCUGGCAUCACCGUUCGGCUUUUGGGGCAAAAACUUCGAGACCAUCAGAAUCGGACCACCAGUAGCUAGACUGAACUUUCGAGCCUUCGACCCCGUUCUAAGUCCGGUCGUUCCUUUCUAGGCCAUUGUGCCUUUUCUUCAGCGUUUGGGACGGAACCAAGAAACCGAGUCUAGGGCAUCACCUUCGACUUUUGUGGGCAAGAAACUUCGAGACCACUAAGAAUCGGUCCACCAAGUAGCUAGACGUGAACUUUCGAGGCCUCCGACCCCGUUCUAAGUUCGGUCGUUCCUUUAUAGGCCAUUGUGCCUUUCUUUCGACGUUUUGGGACGGAACCAAGAAACCGAGUCUAGGGCAUCACUGUUCGGCUUUUGUGGGCAAGAAACUUCGAGACCACUCAGAAUCGGACCACCCAGUAGCCAGACGUGAACUUUCGAGGCCUCCGACCCCGUUCUAAGUCCGGUCGUUCCUUUCUAGGCCAUUGUGCCUUUCUUUCGGAGUUUUGGGAUGGAACCAAGAAACCUAGUCUCGGCAUCACCGUUCGGCUUUUGUGGGCAAGAAACUUCGAGACCACUAAGAAUCGGACCACCCAGUAGCUAGACGUGAACUUUCGAGGCCUCCGACCCCGUUUUCAGUCCGGUCGUUCCUUUCUAGGCCAUUGUGCCUUUCUUUCGGCGUUUUGGGACGGAACCAAGAAACCGAGUCUGGGGCAUCAUCGUUUGGCUUUUAUGGGCAAGAAACUUCGAGACCACCCAGUAGCUAGACGUGAACUUUCGAGGCCUCCGACCCCGUUCUAAGUCCGGUCGUUCCUUUCUAGGCCAUUGUGCCUUUCUUUCGGCAUUUUGGGACGAAACCAAUAAACCGAGUCUGGGCAUAACCGUUCGGCUUUUGUGGGCAAGAAACUUCGAGACCACUCAGAAUCGGACCACCUAGUAGCCAGACGUGAACUUUCGAGGCCUCCGACCCCGUUCUAAGUCCGGUCGUUCCUGUGUAGGCCAUUGUGCCUUUCUUUCGGCGUUUUGGGACGGAACCAAGAAACCGAGUCUGGGCAUCACCGUUUGGCUUUUGUGGGCAAGAAACUUCGAGACCACUCAGAAUCGGACCACCCAGUAGCCAGACGUGAACUUUCGAGGCCUCCGACUUCGUUCUAAGUCUGGUCGUUCCUUUCUAGGCCAUUGUGCCUUUCUUUCGGCAUUUUGGGACGGAACCAAGAAACCGAGUCUGGGGCAUCACUGUUCGGCUUUUGUGGGCGAGAAACUUCGAGACCACUCAGAAUCGGACCACCAUGUAGCAAGACGACAACAUUCAAGGCCUCCGACCCCGUUUUAAGUCCGAUUGUUCCUUUCUUGGACAUUGUGCCUUUCUUUCGGCGUUUUGGGACGGAACCAAGAAACCGAGUCUAGGGCAUCACCGUUCGGCUUUUGUGGGCAAGAAACUUCGAGACCGCUUAGAAUCGGACCACCCAGUAGCCAGACGUGAACUUUCGAGGCCUCGACCACGUUCUAAGUACGGUCGUUCCUUUCUAGGCCAUUGUGCCUUUCUUUUGGCGUUUUAGGACGGAACCAAGAAACCGAGUAUGGGCAUCACCGUUCGGUUUUUGUGGCAAGAAACUUUGAGACCACUCAGAAUCGGACUACCAUGUAGCCAGACGAGAACUUUCGAGGCCCCCGACCCCGUUCUAAUUCCGGUCGUUUCUUUCUAGGACAUUGUGCCUUUCUUUCGGCGUUCUGGGACGGAACCUAGAAACCGAGUUUGGGGCAUCACCGUUCAGCUUUUGUGGGCAAGAAACUUCGAGACCACUCAGAGUUGGACCACUCAGUAGCCAGACGUCAACUUUCGAGGCCUCCGACCCCGUUCUAAGUCCGGUGGUUCCUUUCCAGGCCAUUGAGCCGCUCUUUCGGCGUUUUGGGACGGAACCAAGAAACCGAGUCUGGGGCAUCAUCGUUCGGCUUUUGUGGGCAAGAAACUUCGAGACCACUCAGAAUCGGACCACCCAGUAGCUAGACGUGAACUUUCGAGGCCUCCGAUCUCGUUUUAUGUCUGGUCGUUCCUUUCUAGGCCCUUGUGCCUUUCUUUCAACGUUUUGGGACAGAACCAAGAAACCGAGUCUGGGGCAUCACCGUUCGACUUUUGUGGGCAAGAAACUUCAAGACCACCCAGUGGCUAGACGUGAACUUUCGAGGCCUCCGACCCCGUUCUAAGUCUGGUCGUUCGUUUCUAGGCCAUUGUGUCUUUCUUUCGACGUUUUGGGACGGAACCAAGAAACCGAGUCUAGGGCAUCACCGUUCGGCUUUUGUGGGCAAGAAACUUCGAGACCACCCAGUAGCCAGACGUGAACUUUCGAGGCCUCCGACCCCGUUCUAAGUCCGGUCGUUCCUUAUUAGGCCAUUGUGCCUUUCUUUCGGCGUUUUGGGAUGGAACAUAGAAACCGAGUCUGGGGCAUCACCGUUCGGCUUUUGUGGGCAAAAAACUUUGAGACCACUCAGAAUCGGACCACCAUGUAGCCAGACGAAAACUUUCGAGGCCUCCGACCCCGUUCUAAGUCCGGUCGUUCCUUUCUAGGACAUUGUGCCUUUCUUUCGGCGUUCUGGGACGGAACCAAGAAACCGAGUCUAGGGCAUCACCGUUUGACUUUUGUGGGCAAGAAACUUCGAGACCGCUCAGAAUCGGACCACCCAGUAGCUAGACGUGAACUUUCGAGGCCUCUGACCCCGUUCUAAGUCCGAUCGUUCCUUUCUAGGCCAUUGUGCCUUUCUUUCGGCAUUUUGGGACGAAACCAAGAAACCGAGUCUGACGCAUCACUGUUCGGCUUUUGUGGGCAAGAAACUUCGAGACCGCUCAGAAUCGGACCACCAUGUAGCAAGACGACAACAUUCAAGGCCUCCGACCCCGUUUUAAGUCCGGUCGUUCCUUUCUUGGACAUUGUGCCUUUCUUUCGGCGUUUUGGGACGGAACCAAGAAACCGAGUCUGAGGCAUCACCGUUCGGCUUUUGUGGGCAAGAAACUUUGAGACCGCUCAGAAUCGAACACCCAGUAGCUAGACGUGAACUUUCGGGGCCUCUGACCCCUUUCUAAGUCCGGCCGUUCAUUUCUAGGGCAUUGUGCCUUUCUUUCGACGUUUUGGACUGAGCCAAAAAACCGAGUUUGGGGCAUCAACGUUCGGCUUUUGUGGGCGAGAAACUUUGAGGCCACUCAGAAUCGGACCACCUAGUAGCUAGACGUGAACUUUCGAGGCCUCCGACCCCGUUCUUAAUCUGGCCUUUCCUUUCUAGGCCAUUGUUCCUUUUUUUCGGCGUUUGGGAUGGAACCAAGAAACCGAGUCUGGGGCAUCAUCGUUCGGCUUUUAUGGGCAAGAAACUUCGAGACCACUCUGAAUCGGUCCACCUAGUAGCUAGACAAGAACUUUCGACGCCUCCGACCCCGUUCUAAGUCCAUUCCUUUCUAGGCCAUUGUACCUUUCUUUCGGCGUUUUGGGACGGAAACAAUAUACCGAGUCUAGGGCAUCACCAGUUGGCUUUUGUAGGCAAGAAACUUUGAGACCACUCAGAAUCGGACCACCCAGUAGCUAGACGUGAACUUUCGGGGCCUCCGACCCCGUUCUGAGUUUGGUCGUUCCUUUCUAGGUCAUUGUGCCUUUCUUUCGGCGUUUUGGGACGGAACCAAGACACCAAGUCUGGGGCAUCACCGCUCGGCUUUUGUGGGCAAGAAACUUCGAGACCACUCAGAAUCGGACCACCCAGUAGCUAGACGUGAACUUUCGGGGCCUCUGACCCCUUUCUAAGUCCGGUCGUUCCUUUCUAGGGCAUUGUGCCUUUCUUUCGGCGUUUUGGGACGGAACAAAGAAACCGAGUCUGGGGCAUCACCGUUCGGCUUUUGUGGGUGAGAAACUUUGAGACCACUCAGAAUCAGACCACCCAGUAUCUAGACGUGAACUUUCGAGGCCUUCGACCCCGUUCUAAGUCUGACCGUUCCUUUCUAGGCCAUUGUGUCUUUCUUUCGACGUUUUGGGACGGAACCAAGAAACCGAGUCUGAGGUAUCAAUGUUCAGCUUUUGUGGGCGAGAAACUUCAAGAGCACUCAGAAUCGGACCACCUAGUAGCUAGCCGUGAACUUUCGAGGCCUCCGAGCCUGUUCUAAGUCCGGUCGUUCCUUUCUACGCCAUUGUGCCUUUCUUUCGGCGUUUUCGGACGGAACCAAGAAACCGAGUCCGGGGCAUCACCGUUCGACUUCUGUGGGUAAGAAACUUCGAGACCACUCAGAAUCGGACCACCCGGUAGCUAGACGUGAACUUUCGAGUCCUAAAGCUCGUAGUUUGUAAAUUAUAUUAUGUUCAAUAAAGUUGUUAUUGAGAAAUUAAAUAUAUAAUCUUAAAUCCAAUAAAUCAAGUUCAAGGCUAUUUUUGAAUAAACUUGAAGUUUAUGUGUAAACAUAAACGUGGAUCAAGUUCGAGUAUUUACCCUAAAUAGUCUAUAAUAUAUGAAAUAAAGGUUGGGCACCUUAUAUAGAGAAACUAUGGAUGCGGCCCACUUUGUAGUACAAACGAGGUGAUCCUAAUCGUUCAUGUAGAGACAUGAAAGUGGAGGCAUCCUAUGUAAAAUGUUUACAUAAGACUGAACCAUGAAUUAGUCUUUUUUAUGUUAUAACACCGUUUACUGUUUAAAACUGACUAUCUCAAUUAUUGAUGACCUAGGUAACUUAGUCUUAAUCCUGAGUUAACUAUGAACUCCAGUUCACACGAGAUUAUCCUUAGAUCUGCAUAGGUGAGGGCAACUCAUCAUCGUUAGCCCAAUAAGCCUCCCAUUUCAGGGGUAAGAUCGGGUGGAUAGCUGGGAACAUAGGGUACAAGAUGGAAUUCACUCCUACCCGCUUUAGGGUUAGUAGAUAGGUUGUUCUCUUGCACUGAAUCCAAGUCUUGAACAAGGGGCCCCACCCUCUCAUUGGCCCGAGAGGAUUAAGUUUAUAGGUUGAACCUUACACCAAUUGUUCAAUAGUGGAUUAGUGGGACUUAAGAAGCAAGAUGUAAUCUUGGGGGUAAAACGGUAUUUUGACCCAGCCAAGGUUAUGAGCAACCUGUGAAGGAUUAACUUACUGAUUAUGGUUUUAUCAAAUGGACACAAAUAUAUCUAUAGUGAGGGGAGUGCAACUACGGGACUUUAAUGGAAUGACCCGUUAGUUAACGAAUGUUGAUUAACUCAGUUUAAAAGAGUUUAGCUAGUUAAUCUUGAAUCGUUGGAGCCCAUGAUCUAUAGGUCCAUUAGGUUCCUCUGCUAGCUCAUAUGGAUUAAACUUAGAAUAGUGUGAUGAAAUAAGUCGAAUUUUCGAAUUGGGAGAAGAAAGGGAAACCGACAAAUAUAGUGAUAUAGUCGUCGGUCUUCUAAUUAGAAAUAGAGGUUUAUGUUUUACAUACUAUAAGUAUGAAUGCGGCGGAUUCAUACUAAGAAGCUCGGAAUUGAUGGAAUUGGACAAAAAUAGUAAAAAGUCAAAAUGUUGACUUUUGAACUUGAAAAGUCAAACUUUGACCGGCCUUAUAUUCAAAUGUGAUUUGAAUUUUGGAAAAAUGAAUGCGGAUUCAUGCUCGGGAGGUUGGAAUUAGUCAAGAUGGACAAAAUGGUAAAAAGUCAAAAUAUUGACUUUUGACUAAGAAAAGUCAAAGUUUGACUUUUGACUAGAAAUAUCUAAUGACCAUUUUACCCUUGGACUAAGUUAGUGGGAAAAUCCAACAUUUUGUUGGAUAAUCCCACUAACUCUUAGUGGGAUAUGUGGCUAUAUGAGAUAUAGACACCUAGCCCACUAAGUUCCACUAAUUGUUAGUGGAACAUUAGGUGUUGAGAUUUGGCAAAUGAAUUGCAUGCAUUUUUGCAUGUAAUUAGGUUAUAAAUAGAGGUGUUUUCAAAUGUUGAAAAGACUUUUGCCUCUUUUAUCAUUUUCAUCAUCUCAACAAAAGAAAAAAAAACCUUCCAAUCCCAUUUUAUCUCCAUUUCUUUCUACACCAAAAUUGGGUCCCACAACCCGAUUCUUUGUCUAGAGGAUAGCAGUUGAGUACUAGUGGUGGUCUCGGUUAGAAUUGGUAAGAAGAUGUCAAACCUUUUGAAAGCUUCAAAGGUAAUAUUUCUUAAAACCCUAAUUUGAUUAGUUUAUGGUUACAUGUUAAUUGUCAAUUAGGGUAGAUAUUCGAUUCUUUUUCCGCUGUGCAUGACUUAGUUCUUUCAUGUGGUAUCAGAGCAUGCUUCAUUUUUACCCAAUUGCAUGUGGUGGGUUCAUAUUCAUAUUUAUUAGAUAAAUUUUGGUUUGAACUAAAAUGGAUAUAUUAUGAUUUUGGCUCUAGAUUAAGUGUUUUUGUUCUAUUAUUGUAAUUAGCCUUGUUAAUGGCUUAUUUUUAUUGUUGCAAAGUGUUUGUAAUUUUUUUAAAAUAAAAAAAAGUCAUUAGAGUUGAAGUUAGGCUGUAACUGGUUCAACCGGGUGAGAGAAUUGAAAAAAAUGAAGAAAAGAAGGUCACAGACCCGAAAACCCGGCCUUGACCCGCUUCGCGACCCGCCUGCGCCCGACCCGUGUGCGCCUGGGCCUGUUUAGUUAAUUGGGCCGGUUCAAGCCAAUAAAUUUGGUUUUUGGGCCGGUUCAAGCUGUUUCGGUUGGUUUUUCAGUCGGUUCGAAGUUUUUGGGAGUGGUUCUGUACUACACCAAAUUAAUUAUGUAAUAAUUUAGUACUUAGCUUAAUUUAGGAGCCAAAAAUUAGUCCAUUUUAGGGUGUUUUUUUUAUUUAUGCAUGUGAUGUAUGAUUAAAUUACUUUAAAUUUGUAUGUGCAUUUUGAAUGUCAUAUAGAUUUAAAAUCCCACCAUAGGUUAACAUGUUCAUGCAUUAAAAUGUAUGAUAUAAAGGUUAUAUUGUAUUGUAUGCAUGUUAAUUGAUUAAUAUGGAAAUUAAUUAAUAUGAUUAAUUAAUUAAGUUAUUCUUGAUUAAAUAUGAUUUAAUCAAAUUAAUUAAUUAUUGUUUGAUUUAAUUUAAUUAAAUUAAAAAUUAAAUUGAUUUAAUUAAAUUAAAUAAUUAAUUAAAUUAAAAAUUAAAUAUGAUUUAAUUAAAGUUAAAUAAAUUAAAAUCCAUAUUAAUUGAUUGUUUUUAUAAGGUUAUAUAUUGAUAAAAUGAUUGAUUAAGUCUAAAAGUUUUUAUAAGUGUUAUAAAAUAAAUUAGACUUUUAAAAUCAAUAACAAAGAUUAAAUGCAUGCUCACUUAGGUUAAACAUAUCUUCCAUUUUUCAUAGAAAUAGGUCGAUAUCUUGUAAAACUGGUUACAAAAGGCUCACCUGGUUCAAUCUUGUCAACAAGUCAGAUAAGAUGACUAAGGCUGGAGGUUCUUAAGUUGACGGUUUACGGAACACCUCCUACCUGGAGAUCGUAAUCAGUUCUUGAGCCUAGUUAACCUAGUUUUAUGAGCAUUCGUGAGAGGUGUGAGGUAAUAAAAAUGGUUUAUCACCUAGACAUCAUAGGUUAAAAUCCUGUAUAAUGGUUAUACUUGGAUGUUUUAUCUAGACUUAAAGAUUUGUUUAAGUUAGCCUAAAUAUAAAUCUUGAAGCUUGGAUUACCCUAUUUUUUUCUUCUUCUUUAAAAUAGAACACUUCAACUAGAGAAAAAUAAUGUAUUUUAGCUCUAGUGUCCCUAAGAGUUCACACCGUGAGGUCCAUGCAGGGCUUUGUGCCGUGCAUAGGAGCGGACUCCCUUCGGAGAGUGUUUGCAUGGAUCAAAAUCAAGGUGAAUAGGGGAAGUAGUUCAUAGUAAGUGGGUGAGGGAUUUGUGGCAGCACAUCCCAUGGUCUCUUCCAUUAGGUCGCACCGUGAGAUUUCUAUAAUAUGCCUACUUGUCUGCCCUGGAGCGACGUUCCCUUCGGAGGGUUGUAUUAUAGGAUUCGGAACACCGCGAACUCCAAAUCUGGAUAGGUUUUCUUAGAUUAGUUUUCAUAAAUGAUUCUAAUCUAUGAAAUCUGAAAAUGGUGGGUAACACUUACAAGAAUUACUAAGUUGUUAGUAUAUUCUUGACUAAAGUAGCGAUAACUAAGUGCUAUAAAGAAUAAGCAGUUAUUCUAGAGAUAGCAUCUAGUCAAGAUUGUCUUGGUUCAAA